rnacentral:lncRNA from 1 species
UUCCAUUUAUUUCUUUGUUGUCUUGUGUUUAUUUUGUUUGUUGCAUUAUCAUAAUUAUUUUGCAUAUUUCAUUCCUCUAUGUUGUUGCCAUGAUCAGGUUGAGUGCUUUGUCAUAUCUUUGCUUCUUGCACCAUGCUCUUUUCACUUGUAAUGCCAUGUGUUGCAUUGUGCCCUUGUCAUUUUGCAUUUCAUCAUGCUCAUCAUGUGCAUUGUGAGAUUCAUCUAUUGUUUUACGUGCUCUAUGUGUGUGUUUAUGUUCAACCCCUUUGUUUCCUCUCUCAACCUCACUAUGCACCAUCACCUCCUCCUUCCUUCUUCUUUCUUUCAUUUUUUCCAAGUGGCAUUUUUAUUCCUCCAUAAAUGUUCAAUCUUUUCCUAUCUAUUUUAGACCAUGUCCUCAACUUCUCUGCCAAAUGUGAUCCCAUUUGGAGUUGUUUUGGUUGGGUUCAAAAAUGGCUCAAGUUUGAAUUUAAUUGAAACAUAAAUUAUUUUUCUACCUGUAAAAAUGUCGAAACCAAUUUAUUCAAUUAGUGCUAAAUUCCAGGAUCCCAUAUUAAUUCUCUUUUUAACUUCUACCCUCUCCCACCGAACUUUGCAUUUCCGCUCUUUUAUUUCCGCCUGAUGGAUGAUACGUCUCCAACGUAUCUAUAAUUUUUUAUUGUUCCAUGCUAUAUUAUAUUCUAUUUUGGAUGUUAAUGGGCUUUAUUAUACACUUUUAUAUUAUUUUUGGGACUAACCUAUUAACCGGAGGCCCAGCCCAAAUUGCUGCAUUUUUGCCUAUUUUAGUGUUUCGCAGAAAAAGAAUAUCAAACGGAGUCCAAACGGAAUGAAACCUUUGGGAACGUGAUUUUCCGAACAAACGUGAUCCAAAGGACUUGGAGUCCACGUCAAGAAAUCAACCAGGAGAGCACGAGGCAGGGGGUGCGCCUACCCCCCUAGGCGCGCCCUCCACCCUCGUGGGGCCCACGUUGCUCCACCGACGUACUUCUUCCUCCUAUAUAUACCUACGUACCCCCAAACUAUCAGAUACGGAGCCAAAAACCUAAUUCCACCGCCGCAACCUUCUGCACCCGUGAGAUCCCAUCUUGGGGCCUUUUCCAGCGCUCCGCCGGAAGGGGCAUUGAUCACGGAGGGCUUCUACAUGAACACCAUAGCCUCUCCGAUGAUGUGUGAGUAGUUUACCUCAGACCUUCGGGUCCAUAGUGAUUAGCUAGAUGGCUUCUUCUCUCUCUUUGGAUCUCAAUACAAAGUUCUCCAUGAUUCUCGUGGAGAUCUAUUCAAUGUAAUCUUCUUUUGCGGUGUGUUUGUUGAGACCGAUGAAUUGUGGGUUUAUGAUCAAGUUUAUCUAUGAACAAUAUUUGAAUAUUCUCUAAAUUCUUUUAUGUAUGAUUGGUUAUCUUUGCAAGUCUCUUCGAAUUAUCAGUUUGGUUUGGCCUACUAGAUUGAUCUUUCUUGCAAUGGGAGAAGUGCUUAGCUUUGGGCUCAAUCUUGCGGUGUCCUUUCCCAGUGACAGCAGGGGAAGCAAGGCACGUAUUGUAUUGUUGCCAUCGAGGAUAACAAGAUGGGGUUUAUAUCAUAUUUCAUGAGUUUAUCCCUCUACAUCAUGUCAUCUUGCUUAAAGCGUUACUCUGUUCUUAUGAACUUAAUACUCUAGAUGCAUGCUGGAUAGCGGUCGAUGUGUGGAGUAAUAGUAGUAGAUGCAGGCAGGAGUCGGUCUACUUGUCACGGACGUGAUGCCUAUAUACAUGAUCAUACCUAGAUAUUCUCAUAACUAUGCUCAAUUCUAUCAAUUGCUCAACAGUAAUUUGUUCACCCACCGUAAUACUUAUGCUCUUGAGAGAAGCCACUAGUGAAACCAUGGCCCCCGAGUCUAUUUUCCAUCAUAUUAAUCUUCCAACACUUAGUUAUUUCUUUUGCCUUUUAUUUUACUUUGCAUCUUUAUUUCUCUUUAUCAUAAAAAUACCAAAAAUAUUAUCUUAUCAUAUCUAUCAGAUCUCACUCUCGUAAGUGACCGUUGAGGGAUUGACAACCCCUUUAUCUCGUUGGUUGCGAGGUUCUUAUUUGUUUGGGUAGGUGCGAGGAAAUCGUGCGUGAUCUCCUACUGGAUUGAUACCUUGGUUCUCAAAAACUGAGGGAAAUACUUACGCUACUUUACUGCAUCACCCUUUCCUCUUCAAGGGAAAACCAACGCAGUGCUCAAGAGGUAGCAAGAUGAAUUUCUGGCGCCGUUGCCGGGGAGAUUCGCGCCACGUCAAGUCAAGUCAAGACAUACCAAGUACCCAUCACAAACUCUUAUCCCUCGCAUUACAUUAUUUGCCAUUUGCCCCUCGUUUUCCUCUCCCCCACUACACCCUUGCCGUUUUAUUUGCCCUCUCUUUUUCGCUCGCCUUUCCGUUCGCCUCUUUUUCGCUUGCUUCUUGUUUGCUCGUGUGUUGGAUUGCUUGCUUGUCACGAUUGCUCAAGAUAAUACUAAAUUGUGUGACUUUACCAAUACCAAGAACAAUGAUUUUCUUAGCACUCCGAUUGCUCCUCUUACCGAUACUGAAUCUUGUAAAAUUAAUGAUGCUUUGUUGAAUCUUGUUAUGAAAGAUAAAUUCGCCGGCCUUCCUAGUGAAGAUGCAGCUACCCAUCUAAAUAGCUUCGUUGAUUUGUGUGAUAUGCAAAAGAAGAAAGAUGUGGACAAUGAUAUUGUUAAAUUGAAGCUAUUUCCUUUUUCGCUUAGAGAUCGUGCUAAAGUUUGGUUUUCGUCUUUGCCUAAAAAUAGUAUUGAUUCAUGGAAUAAGUGCAAAGAUGCUUUUAUCUCUAAGUAUUUUCCUCCCGCUAAAAUCAUCUCUCUUAGAAAUGAUAUCAUGAAUUUCAAGUAACUUGAUCAUGAACAUGUUGCACAAGCUUGGGAGAGGAUUAAAUUAAUGAUACGUAAUUGCCCUACACAUGGUUUGAAUCUUUGGAUGAUUAUACAAAAAGUUUAUGCCGGAUUGAAUUUUGCUUCUAGAAAUCUUCUAGAUUCGGCCGCGGGAGGCAAUUUUAUGGAAAUCACUUUAGGAGAAGCUACUAAACUCCUAGAUAAUAUUAUGGUUAAUUAUUCUCAAUGGCACACCGAAAGAUCUACUGAUAAAAAAGUUCAUGCGAUAGAAGAAAUUAAUGUUUUGAGUGGAAAGAUGGAUGAACUUAUGAAAUUAUUUGCUACUAAAAGUGUUUCUUCUGAUCCUAAUGAUAUGCCUUUGUCUACUUUGAUUGAGAAUAAUAAUGAAUCUACGGAUGUGAAUUUUGUUGGUAGGAAUAAUUUGGUUAACAACGCAUAUAGAGGAAACUUUAAUCCUAGGCCGUAUCCUAGUAAUUCCUCUAAUAGUUAUGGUAAUUCCUAUAACAAAUCUUAUGGAAAUUUUAAUAAGAUGCCCUCUGAAUUUGAGACUAGUGUUAAAUAAUUUAUAAAUUCGCAAAAGAAUUUCAAUGCUUUGCUUGAAGAAAAAAUUGCUUAAGGUUGAUGAAUUGGUAGGUACGUUGAUAGAAUUUCUCUUGAUGUUGAUUCUUUGAAACUUAGAUCUAUUCGAACUAAGCAUGAUAUCAAUGAGUCUCUCAAAGCCAUGAGAAUUUCCAUUGUUGAGUGCAAAGAAAGAACCGCUAGGAUGCGUGCUAAGAAAGAUUGCUUUGUGAAAGCGUGUUCUUCUAGUUUUUAUGAAAAUAAAGAUGAAGAUCUAAAAGUUAUUGAUGUGUCUCCUAUUAAAUCUUUGUUUUGCAAUAUGAAUUUUGAUAAUGAUGGGACUGAAUAUGAGCCACCUUUACCUAGAAGGUGUUCCAAAAAUUCGGAGUCUUUAGAUCUUGAUGCAAAAAUUGGUAAAAGUGAGAUUGAAGAGAUCAAAACUCUAGAUAUUAAUGAACCCACUAUUUUGGAUUUCAAGAAUUUAAUUAUGAUAAUUGCUCUUUGAUAGAUUGUAUUUCCUUCUUGCAAUCCGUGCUAAAUUCUCCUCAUGCUUAUAGCCAAAAUAAAGCUUUUACUAAACAUAUCGUCGAUGCUUUGAUGCAAUCUUAUGAAGAAAAACUUGAGUUGGAAGUUUCUAUCCCUAGAAAACUUUAUGAUGAGUGGGAACCUACUAUUAAAAUUAAAAUUAAAGAUCAUGAAUGCUAUGCUUUGUGUGAUUUGGGUGCUAGUGUUUCCACGAUUCCAAAAACUUUGUGUGAUUUGCUAGGUUUCCGUGAAUUUGAUGAUUGUUCUUUCAACUUGCACCUUAAGGAUUCCACCAUUAAGAAACCUAUGGGAAGAAUUAAUGAUGUAAUUAUUGUUGCAAAUAGGAAUUAUGUGCCCAUAGAUUUUAUUGUUCUUGAUAUAGAUUGCAAUCCUUCAUGUCCUAUUAUUCUUGGUAGACCUUUCCUUAGAACGAUUGGUGCAAUCAUUGAUAUGAAGGAAGGGAAUAUUAGAUUCCAAUUUCCCUUAUGGAAAGGCAUGGAACACUCCCCUAGAAAGAAAAUAAAAUUACCUUAUGAAUCUAUUAUGAGAGACAAUAAUGGAUUGCCUACCAAAGAUGGCAAUACCUAGAUCUAUCCUUGCUUUUAUGCCUAGCUAGGGGCAUUAAACGAUAGCGCUUGUUGGGAGGCAACCCAAUUUUAUUCUAUUUUUUUGCUGUUGCUUCUGUUUAGGAAUAAAUAUUUGAUCUAGACUCUGGUUAGAUUUGUUUUUAUGUUUAAUUUGUUUUUGUGCCAAGUUAAACCUAUAGGAUCUUCUUGGAUGAUAGUUAUUUAAUCUUGCCGAAACUUCCAGAAACUUUCUGUUCACGAAAACAAUUAAAAAUCACCAGAACAUGAUAAAAAUACUGAUUGCAAUUGCAGCAGAUCAAUAAAAAAAUUGUCUAGGUCGUCCUAUUUUGGUAGAUUUUUUGGAGUUCCAGAAGUUUGCGUUAGUUACAGAUUACUACAGAUUCUUCUCUUUUUGACAGAUUCUGUUUUUCGUGCGUUGUUUGCUUAUUUUGAUGAAUCUAUGGCUAGUAAAAUAGUUUAUAAACCAUAAAGAAGUUGGAAUACAGUAGGUUUAACACCAAUAUAAAUAAAUAAUGAGUUCAUUACAGUACCUUGAAGUGGUGUUUUGUUUUCUUUCGCUAACGGAGCUCACGAGAUUUUCUGUUUAGUUUUGUGUUGUGAAGUUUUCAAGUUUUGGGUAAAAGAUUUGAUGGAUUAUGGAACAAGGAGUGGCAAGAGCCUAAGCUUGGGGAUGCCCAUGGCACCCCAAGAUAAUCUAAGGACACCAAAAAGCCAAACCUUGGGGAUGCACCGGAAGGCAUCCCCUCUUUCGUCUACUUCCAUCUGUAACUUUACUUGGAGCUAUAUUUUUAUUCACCACAUGAUAUGUGUUUUGCUUGGAGCGUCUUGUAUUAUUUGAGUCUUUAUUUGUUAGUUUGCCACAAUCAUCCUUGAUGUACACACCUUUGAGAGAGACACACAUGAUUCGGAAUUUGUUAGAAUACUCUAUGUGCUUCACUUAUAUCUUUUGAGCUAUAUAGUUUUUGCUCUAGUGCUUCACUUAUAUCUUUUAGAGCAUGGUGGUGGAUUAGUUUUAUAGAAACUAUUGCUCUCUCAUGAUUCACUUAUAUUAUUUUGAGAGUCCUACAAAACUGCAUGGUAAUUUGCUUAAAUUGAGAAAUUAAUCCUAAAGUAAUAGGCAUCCAAGAUUAGUAAAAAUUAUCUUAUGAGUGUGUUGAAUACUAUGAGAAGUUUGAUGCUUGAUAAUUGUUUUGAGAUAUGAAGAUGGUGAUAUUAGAGUCAUGCUAGUUGAGUAGUUGUGGAUUUGAGGAAUACUUGUGUUAAAGUUUGUGAUUCCCGUAGCAUGCACGUAUGGUGAACCGUUAUGUGAUGAAGUUGGAGCAUGAUUUAUUUAUUGAUUGUCUUCCUUAUGAGUGGCGGUCGGGGACGAGCGAUGGUCUUUUCCUACCAAUCUACCCCCCUAGGAGCAUGCGCGUAAUACUUUGCUUUGAUAACUUGUAGAUUUUUGCAAUAAAUAUAUGAGUUCUUUAUGACUAAUGUUGAGUCCAUGGAUUAUACGCCCAAUCUUCCUGCCACCAUUGCUAGCCUCUCUAAUACCGCCCACUUUUCGCCGGUAUCAUACACCCACCAUAUACCUUCCUCAAAACAGCCACCAUACCUACCUAUCAUGGCAUUUCCAUAGCCAUUCCAAGAUAUAUUGCCAUGCAACUUACCACCGUUCCGUUUACUAUGACACGCUCCAUCAUUGUCAUAUUGCUUCGCAUGAUCAUGUAGUUGACAUCGUAUUUGUGGCAAAGCCACUGUUCAUAAUUCUUUCAUACAUGUCACUCUUGAUUCAUUGAAUAUCCCGGUACACCGCCGGAGGCAUUCAUAUAGAGUCAUAUUUUGUUCUAAGUAUUGAGUUGUAAUUGUUGAGUUGUAAGUAAAUAAAAGUGUGAUGAUCAUCAUUUUUACCGCAUUGUCCCAAGUGGGGAAAGGAUGAUGGAGACUAUGAUCCCCCCACAAGUCGGGAUGAGACUCCGGACGAAAAAUAAAAAAAAUAAAAGAGGCCAUAAAAAAGGAGAAAAGGCCCAAAUAAAAAAUGAGAGAAAAAGAGAGAAGGGACAAUGUUACUAUCCUUUUACCACACUUGUGCUUCAAAGUAGCACCGUGAUCUUCAUGAUAGAGAGUCUCCUAUGAUAUCACUUUCAUAUACUAGUGGGAAUUUUUCAUUAUAGAACUUGGCUUGUAUAUUCCAAUGAUGGGCUUCCUCAAAAUGCCCUAGGUCUUCGUGAGCAAGCGAGUUGGAUGUACACCCACUUAGUUUCUUUAGUUGAGCUUUCAUAUACUUAUAGCUCUAGUGCAUCCAUUGCAUGGAAAUCCCUACUCACUCACAUUGAUAUCUAUGAAGGGGCAUCUCCAUAGCCCGUUGAUACGCCUAGUUGAUGUGAGACUAUCUUCUCCUUUUUUGUCUUCUCCACAACCACCAUUCUAUUCCACAUAUAGUGCUAUAUCCAUGGCUCUCGCUCAUGUAUUGUGUGAAGAUUGAAAAAGUUUGAGAACACCAAAAGUAUGAAACAAUCGCUUGGCUUGUCAUCGGGGUUGUGCAUGAUUUAAAUACUUUGUGUGGUGAAGAUAGAGCAUAGCCAAACUAUAUGAUUUUGUAGGGAUAACUUUCUUUCGCCAUGUUAUUUCGAGAAGACAUAAUUGCUUAGUUAGUAUGCUUGAAGUAUUAUUAUUUUUAUGUCAAUAUUAAACUUUUGUCUUGAAUCUUUCAGAUCUGAAUUUUCAUACCACAAUUAAGAUAAUUACCUUGAAAAUUAUGCUAAGUAGCAUUCCACAUCAAAAAAUUCCGAUUUUAUCAUUUACCUACUCGAGGACGAGCAGGAAUUAAGCUUGGGGAUGCUUGAUACGUCUCCAACGUAUAUAUAAUUUUUGAUUGUUCCAUGCUAUAUUAUAUUCUGUUUUUGAUGUUAAUGGGCUUUAUUAUACACUUUUAUAUUAUUUUUGGGACUAACCUAUUAACCGGAGGCCCAGCCCAAAUUGCUGCUUUUUUGCCUAUUUAGUGUUUCGCAGAAAAAGAAUAUCAAACGGAGUCCAAAUGGAAUGAAACCUUCGGGAAUGUGAUUUUCGGAACAAACGUGAUCCAGAGGACUUGGAGUCCACGUCAAGAAAUCAACCAGGAGAGCACGAGGCAGGGGGCGCGCCUACCCCCCUAGGCGCGCCCUCGACCCUCGUGGGGCCCAUGUUGCUCCACCGACGUACUUCUUCCUCCUAUAUAUACCUACGUACCCCCAAACUAUCAGAUACGGAGCCAAAAACCUAAUUCCACCGCCGCAAUCUUCUGUACCCGUGAGAUCCCAUCUUGGGGCCUUUUCCGGCACUCCACCGGAAGGGGCAUUGAUCACGGAGGGCUUCUACAUCAACACCUAGCCUCUCCGAUGAUGUGUGAGUAGUUUACCUCAGACCUUCGGGUCCAUAGUUAUUAGCUAGAUGGCUUCUUCUCUCUCUUUGGAUCUCAAUACAAAGUUCUCCACGAUUCUCGUGGAGAUCUAUUCGAUGUAAUCUUGUUUUGCGGUGUGUUUGUUGAGACCGAUGAAUUGUGAGUUUAUGAUCAAGUUUAUCUAUGAACAAUAUUUGAAUCUUAUCUAAAUUCUUUUAUGUAUGAUUGGUUAUCUUUGCAAGUCUCUUCGAAUUAUCAGUUUGGUUUGGCCUACUAGAUUGAUCUUUCUUGCAAUGGGAGAAGUGCUUAGCUUUGGGUUCAAUCUUGUGGUGUCCUUUCCCAGUGACAGCAGGGGCAGCAAGGCACAUAUUGUAUUGUUGCCAUCGAGGAUAACAAGAUGGGGUUUAUAUCAUAUUGCAUGAGUUUAUCCCUCUACAUCAUGUCAUCUUGCUUAAAGCGUUACUCUGUUCUUAUGAACUUAAUACUCUAGAUGCAUGCUGGAUAGCGGUCGAUGUGUGGAGUAAUAGUAGUAGAUGCAGGCAGGACUCGGUCUACUUGUCACGGACGUGAUGCCUAUAUACAUGAUCAUACCUAGAUAUUCUCAUAACUAUGAUCAGUUCUAUCAAUUGCUCAACAGUAAUUUGUUCACCCCCCCCAUAAUACUUAUGCUCUUGAGAGAAGCCACUAGUGAAACCUAUGGCCCACGGGUCUAUUUUCCAUCAUAUUAAUCUUCCAACACUUAGUUAUUUCUUUUGCCUUUUAUUUUACUUUGCAUCUUUAUUUCUCUUUAUCAUAAAAAUACCAAAAAUAUUAUCUUAUCAUAUCUAUCAGAUCUCACUCUCGUAAGUGACCGUUGGGGAUUGACAACCCCUUUAUCGCGAUGGUUGCGAGGUUCUUAUUUGUUUGUGUAGGUGCGAGGGACUCGUGCGUGAUCUUCUACUGGAUUGAUACCUUGGUUCUCAAAAACUGAGGGAAAUACUUACGCUACUUUACUGCAUCACCCUUUCCUCUUCAAGGGAAUACCAACGCAGUGCUCAAGAGGUAGCAAUGGACUAAAGGAAAAGAAAGAGGAGUAACUCAACGCAGCAGAGAGCAGCCCAGCAGCGCACAGCCCACCAAACCCGCAGCCCAACUCCAUCCCGUGGUAAAAUUCCCACGCGGCCACUGUUUACCCCUUCCCCGCACCCACCUAUCAUUGUUUCUUCCCCCUCCUUUUCUUCCACCUCACGCCCUACCUCUCUCUCACGGUAACUCUGCAACCCAGGCACCCAUGGCCACCGUGGCCGCACGCCCGCACCAUCCACACCUUCCAGCCCUCCUAUAAAACCCUCGCGGCUUCCCUAGGGUUUCCCUGAUCCUCCUCUUUACCCAUCUCCGCCGCCACCCAAGGGCAUCUCCCCUACCUUCCUCCUCCUUCCCCUUGAGAGACCCGAGAGAGCGCAGGAGCAUGUGCUCGUCACCGGCGUGCUCUCCGUCAAGCCAAGUCGCAGCCAAGGCGACCAGGAGUACCCCGACGUCGACUACUUCCUCUACCUCACGGAUCGGACGCCAUCUCACCUUCCCGCUGUCCUCCAUGUCAUCCACUACUCUGCUUCCUCUUCUCGAAGCCAGGAACGCCUCCGCCGAUGAGCGUCAUCGAUUCCGGCCGUUUACGACCACCUCUCGGUAAUCCAAGCACGCUCGCGUGCUUGUGGUGAGCACCUGAUUCCUCCCCAUGCCUUUAUCUUGCUCGAUCGCGUCUUGUCCCUCCCAAUUCCUUCCCGGCCGAGCGCAUCGCUGCUCAUCGUUGUCGCCGGAGAUCAUCCGGUGGCCUCCUUCUCGUUUCCUUGCAUCGCUGGGUUUAGGGUCCUUUGUAGGUGUGUCUUCUUCCUGCUGUUAGCCGUUUCACCCCACCGUUCGCCUUGUUGGGUUGGUCUCUGCCGCCUCUGUCCUCCCGACGCCGGCGAUGUCUCUGUCGUCGUUCGAUGCCAUGAGUGGCACGCGGGAGUGCGUAUUUGUCCCGUGCAUCGAUAGCGCCCCUCCGCCGUAGCUUUUGGUCGCCGGAGUUUCCUCUGAUGAGCUCGCCCGCUGUCCAUCUCGCACGCGCUGACAAGCUCCUUUGUUUGCUCUGCUUCUUCAUUGUGCACAUGCUUGCUGGUUUCGUUGCUUUGUUGCACCUUCGCUGCACACCUCCAUGCACACGCAUCUGCACACGCGCACGGCCGCGCUCGAUUGCGAGCCCGUGGCCCUGCUUCGUCUUGCCACUGCCAUGACCGAGGCGACCUUGAGCUUAUCCUCGAGUCUUCCUGCGCACUCAAGCCUUCUGCACGAUCUCAGCUCACAGCGCACCAAUGUCCCUGUUCUGCACGCCCGCCGGUGCUCUACAACCUCCAAAGUCGUCGUCUUGAUCGAGUUUACCGCCGGAAAAGAUUCCUCUACGUUCAUGGAAGGUCAGGGCUUGGCCUUGGGAUCCAUUCAAAGAGGGUUGUGCUCCUUCUCUAGCAAGAUCACAGCACCAGCCCAGCUGGUUAGGGCAUGUUCGGUUCCUUAUGUAGCUACAGGCUGCAUUGCAUGGGGCGUCCUGGGUGAGCCUGGCCUGGUUGGGCUGAUGCAAGGAUGAGAAGAGAUGGGUGUUUGGUGAACUUGCAUGAUAUUGCUGCACCACGAGCAGGUUUUUCUGAAUUUUGUUGGGCUUGCCUGAUCAUUGUUUGCUGGCUACUUCAGCGACAGAUGGCUAGUACGUAAUCCAGCGCUCGAGACGCCAGUCAUGACCAAAAUUGCACUGCUCCAUUAGCUAUCUCGCAUUGAAACCAUAGUAGCCUGGUUCGCGGGUCAAGGGUGCGUUCCCUGACCCGGGGUCGAUCGACCCCAAUCUAGGGUCGGGGACGAGGUGGGGCCGAGGUGGGUCGUUGGGCGGAUCGUGACCCUGAUCAUUCCAUGAUACCCUCACAUCGGUUGGGAAGAUUGCAAUAAGCUACCCAAGAACAUCUAUGUGGGAUCGGGAGUUCAUGGUGAAUCGAGGCUAACCUGGCAAUCGUGCUCAAAAGUUCUGAACUCCACCGGACUGCUGUAACCCGCCCUCCCGCGAUCUGCCACUCGCCUGCCGGUCGUCGAGCUUCCUGCUGCGGUGUGCACUCACUCCCUCCCUGCUCCUGCAGUCCCAUCAUUGAUGGAUACGCUCGAUGCUCGCCACUGCCGCUUAAGAAUCCGAUGGUAACCAGGGAACAAAGACUGCACAAGGAAGAAGGAACGACUGGAAGGGCAAACAGGAGGGUGCUGGACUAGAGCUUUGUAGAUGACCUAACGAAGAGAGAUUUGGGGCAGUUUUUGCGGACAUUAUUUUACAGAGAUGCGCAUAGGCUUCGUGUAAAAGGAAACAGGAGAUGAAAAGAUCACGCCGUAGACGGCUCGACCUGUGGCCCUAUUUCUUAUGACGAAGAGGGAAGGGAAAUAAAUUACCGCGCAGAUCAUGAUUUUUUCAGAGGGAAUGUCGGGAUCUUUCUUUCCCUACAUGGCGAAACCACAGUGACCCGGAGUCAUCGACCCAAAAUGUUUCGGAUCACGAUCCACGUUCCAAAUUGACGUGCCGAAGAUGUAUACCCCUCAUCGCACCUCGUUCCGGAGGGCUGGCGACCCACGACCCGUGACCCCGUUCCUUGACCCGGUCGACCCGGAUUUCUGGCAACUAUGAUUGAAACAGAGGAGAUGGAUCGACCAAGUUGCGCAGACUCGACCAAUGUUGCCGCGAGUCACCGUGCAAAUGCACUAACCAUUUCCUUCAAUGAGGAAUGCGGUGACGUAGUAGCACGGGGCGAGAAGAUCCACAGCUCGGCGCCUCUAGACAGCAGGAUGAGGACGAUAGAAACGAUGCUUGGUCGAGGACGACGGCGGCUGGAACACUUGGUUGAGGACGAUGGGGCGACGACGCUAGGUCGAGGACGGCGGCAACGUUGAUGCUUGGUCGAGGACGACAGUGCCGAUGACGCUUGGUCGAGGACGACGAUGGCGGCAGCACUUAUUCGAGGAUGGUGGCGGCGACGGCACUUGUCGAGGACGGCAGCGGCAACGAUACUUAGUCGAGGAUGGCGGCGGCGACGCUUGGUCGAGGACGGCGGUGGCUACCCUUGGUCGAGGACGACGACGGCGACAACACUUGGUCCAGGAUGACGGCGGUGGCUACCCUUGGUCAUGAACGACGACGGGGACGGCACUUGGUCGAGGACGACGGCGGUGGCGAUGCUUGGUCAAGGACAAUGGCGGCGCCUGGUGGAGGUUGAACGAGGACAACAGGGUUUGACGAGGGCGGCGGCGACCGUUGGUUGAGGACGACACGGGCAGCGUUUGUAUUGAGUAUAAGUGUUGUGCAUAUCUGUGUAUCAGGCCCACCUCCUAGUUCCUUGUAUAGUUGAGGUCGUGGCCCACCUUUGUACAUCACAUAUAUAUAUACAUAUAUACAUAUAUAUAUAUAAGGUGUGUGUGUGCACGCGCCUUUACACAUGAGCAAUACAUCGUGUAAUUCAUACAUCAUAUAUGAUAUCAGUUUUUUGGGUUAAACCUAGCUUCCGCCACGCUACCGCCGCCAUCGCGCGCCUCUUCGCGCCGCCGCUCCCCUUCUCCCGCUGCCGCCGCGCUCCCCCAACCCGCGUUGCCGCCUACACCUCCCUGACGCUACGCCACCCACACCCGAGCACUGCCGCCUACCCAGCCGCUACCCCGCCGCCGCUCCCUAGCCACUGCCUGCCAUCCCCACCGCUAGCCCGCACCUUCUCCCGAGCGCCACCACCAGCCCGCGCUAAUCCGCCGUUGUAGCCGACCCGCCGCCGCCACCUGACCCUAAACCCUAACCUGCGCUCCACCCCGAGCCGACCCUAGCCGCCAUGUCGUCUGUCACUUCCUCCGCGUCCACCAACUCCAACCCGUUCACCGACGCCAACCAUCCCGACGUCAACGACAUCCGCAACCUGAACAUCUAUGAGCGGGUGCCGGUUCAUCUCUCGCAGACAGACUCCUCCUACUACAUGUGGAAGACGUAUGUCUCCCUUGUGUUCCGGAAGUACCACCUCGUCGACCACGUGGACGGCACUGUCGACUCCAGCCUCGUCCCCGAGUUCCAUGACUAGUCCACCAUCGACACGACGAUCAUCCGGUGGUUCUUCCUCACCAUCUCGCCGGACCUCUUUCAGACGGUCGUGUAGGACAGUGAUGACGCUUGCGCUAUGUGGACCAAGCUGAACGGGCUCUUCAUCGACAACCAACUCCAACGUCGCGUUUUUUUGCAGCAAGAGUUUUUUGGAUGCCACCAGGACAAGUCCUCCAUCGACGAUUAUUGUCAUCGCCUCAAGACUCUUGCUGACGAGCUCCACGACAUUGGCGUGAAGAUCAAUGAAGACCUCCUCCUCUGCACACUCACCACCGGGCUCAACGAGGACUUCGGCAAUGCCGCAGUGAACCUCACCCUCAUCCCCAACCCAUCCUUCGCCAAGUUCGUUGUGUACCUCCGCUUGGAGGAGCAGCGGAUGAAGCAGGUGAAGGCGGGGGCCAUCCACACCGCCCUCGCCGCCGGCACCACCCGCGGUGGGCCCCCGACGCCUCCCACUGCCCCAGCUACGCCCCCGCAGCCGCGCCACCAGGCGCCCUUCCCGACCCCGCCGCCGUACCCGGUGCCCCAGCAGCCGGGGCUCCUCCCGCAAUUCAUACAUCAUACAGUUUGGUCUAGCGGCGAAGAGAUGAAAGAUAGAAGAAAACCAAACCGGCCAGAGCCUGCAUGCCAGAAACGCGAGAAACUUGCGUUUCCCUCGGCCUGGCUGCGAGGACUCCUUUUGCAUCCACGGACCAGGCUCACGCGCACAUGCAGCCUACCAAUCCACUCAAGUUUUGCAUGGUGGGUGUAAGCCAAAUGCAAACCAAGAAACCAAACACCCCCUUAGCCACGCGCGGUCGCAUCUGGGAGGUCCUGGGUUCGAGUCCCAGGCGCCCCAAUUUUGUGCACUGUUUUUCUUUACUAUUGCACACACACACACCCACAGCCGUUUUGGGCCCUAUCUACUCCUGGGGCGCUGCACAGUGCUGGUUCGGGCCCGUGCAUUAUUUUUUUCUACCUGUGAAUUUAUUUUUCCCCGUGCAUGCAUAUUUACAGCAAUGCCAUUAAUUUGUUUUGUCUAUAGCUAAAUAACUGUGCAUCCAUUUAAAACAUGUCAUAUAUGCAUCUUGCUAAGAUUUUCAUGAACAUUCACAAUACGCAACUUUCAUCCCUGUUAAAAAUGUUUAAAAUUGUUGUUUGUAAUAAUUUGCAUGAAUGACAUGCUAAAAUGGUUUAUAUCGUAAUUAAUUAACCAUAGCUCUGAAUUAAAUAAACUUUAUAUGUAAAUGGGGUAGAAAAUAUAUAGAUUAAGAUUGUGCACUUUAACUUGAAGUUUAACAACUUUAACAUAAUGUUUUAUUCACAACAGUAUGAAAUUCGAAAUUUGCAUAUGGGGACUUUCCAGAAUUGUUACGUGUUGUUUCCGGCCUCAUUUAAACUUGCUUUGAUGUGGGAUUAUUUUAUGCUUUAUCUCUUGCCAUGAGUAACAACAUUUAAUCUUGUCAUGCAUCAUACUUGGUUGUGCAUCAUGCCAUGUUGUUGUGUUGUUUGUUUACCGUGUUGUUUGCUUCUUUCCGUUUGUGCUUCUUCUCAAUAGUUCCGGUUUCGUUGCGAUUGUGAGGAUUCCUUCGACUACGUUGGUUCGUCUACUUAAUGGACUCGAUCUUCUUCCGAGCGGGAUUUCAGGCAAGAUGACCGUUACCCUGGAUGCCACUACUAUCUUUGCUUUCCUAGUUGUCUCGAUGCUAUUGCUAUGUCGCGCUACCUACCACUUGUUUAUCAAGCCUCCCAAAUUGCCAUGAUAAGCCUCUAACAUUUUCCACCAUCCCAGCAAACCGUUGUUUGGCUAUGUUACCACUUUGCUCAGCACCUCUUAUAGCGUUGCUAGUUGCAGGUGCAGUGCAGGUUGUUCCAUGUUGGGACAUGGAUAUCAUGGGGUAUCACAAUAUCUCUUAUUUAAUUACUGCAUCUAUAUACUUGGUAAAGGGUGGAAGGUUCGGCCUUUUCCCUGGUGUUUUGUUCCGCUCUUGCCGCCCUAGUUUCCGUCAUACCGGUGUUAUGUUCCUUGAUUUUGCGUUCCUAACACGGUUGGGGUUUUGGGGCCCCCCUUCACAGCUCGCUUUGAUUAAAACUCUUCCAGCAAGACCCAUCAUUGGUUUUACCAUUUGCCCAACAUAAUAAUAAACAUGAUAAUAAGUUUGACGCAUAGGCAGUUAGCGCUACCCGAGGUUUGUUAUUCAACAUAGUACAGGGGGCAGUGCUGAUGGUGCUGGUCCAAACUAGAGUCGUGUGCGGCUUCCCCAGGGGAAACUUGGUCUCAGCUGUUCUACGCUGUGCUCAUCCGAUCGUGGCCUAAGAUGAGAUACGCGUGGCUCCUAUCGGGGUGUUGUUACGUCAGAGGUCUUGCUGGACUUUUUUACCAUUGUCGAAAUGUCUUGUGAACCGGGAUUCCGAGCUUGAUCGGGUUGUUCCGGGAGGAGGAUUUUCCUCCGUUGAUCGCGAGUGUUUGUGAUGGAUUAAGUUGGGACACCCCUGCAGGGUUUAAACUUUCGAAAGCCGUGCCCGCAGUUAUGUGGCAGGUGGGAAUUUUUAAUAUCCAGUAGUAGAGAACUUGACACCAGAUCUGAAAUAAAAUACACCAACCUCGUGCAUAACCGUCACCGUCUCUUUUUGAGUGAGUUCGAGAAGAGAACACGCUGGGGUUGUGUUUGACUCGUAAGUAGAUCAGGAUCACUUCUUGAUCAUUACUAGUUUGCGACCGUUAUGCGUAGUUUCUCCUCUUACUCUUGUACUCUUAAGUUAGCAACCAUACAAUACUUAGUUUUGCUGCAACCUCACCACUUAUCCAUUCAUACCCAUUAAGCUUUGCUAGUCUUAAUACCCAUGGUAAUGUGAUUGCUAAGUCCUCGUGGCUCACAGAUUACUACAACAACAGAUGCAGGUACAGGUAAUGCGAUGAUAUGACGUGAGAGCAAUGCUUGCUUGUUUUGGAGUUCUUCUGCUUCUUCUUCUUUGAUCGAGGGAUAGGUUCCUGGUCGGUAGCCUGGGCUAGCAGGGUGGAUGUCGUUUGUGUUUUCCAAUUUUUUUCAUCCGUAGUCGGAUGUUGUUCUUUUGUAUGAUGUUUGAUGUAUUCAUGUGGCAAUUGUAUGCAUUCGUAUGUAUCCCCAUUUGUGUUCUAUGUGGUACGAUGUAAUUAUAUCCACCUUGCAAAAGCGUCUUCAAUAUGCGCUUCUAUCCUUGGUGGGACCUUCGAGUUCCUCUCGGAUAGGAUCACAUAUUGGGCGUUACACAGACAUCUGGGAUAAUGCUUGACAGGUUAACUAAAUCUAGAGGAGGAAGAAUGGAGAUCGGUUUUGAGGCAGGUUUAAAAAGGCCACGUGAUGCUAUAGAGCCAGCCAAGUUAGUAUCAGAGGCAGCUGUUGUCGUUAGGUGUCAUGCACGUAUCCUCCCAACAUGGAUUUAGUACAGGAAUGACAAAGACGAAACCCAGUUCAACACCUUCCUCGACCAUUUAUCUGUAAGUAUGGUUAUGUAUGGAAAUUAGUAAUAUCGUCUUGCUCUGUCCCAUACUUUCUAGGUUGCUGGUAAUGAGACUCCCAUAAUUUUCAACAAAUGAGGUUCAAGUUGGAUAGCCAAGAUGAUGCAACCAGACAAGCAUGCACCCAUGUUUUCAAGUCUGCUCUGCGACAGUAUCGGUAUAACUUGAAGAAAACUCACUUUGAAGGCAAGGCUAACAGUGACCUUGCACAAACAUCUCCAGUGGUGUAACACCCUGAGACCGACGCUCCAGACGGCUUCCAUGUUUUGCGUGACCAUUGUGUGUUUUAUUGUUUGUUGCAUUCAUCAUCGCAUCAUCCGCAUUGCAUCGGCACUCGUUGUCGUCAUUGUUUUUAUAACUUGCAUUCGUUCGUAGUUGCCGCAUUUCCCCCUUGUCUUCGUUGACCGUUCCGAGACCAACCGUGUUUUCGGUUCCCUCUUGUCAAACCAACUAACCUCUCUCGUCAGCCCGCGAUCCCCUCCCGCGCGUCCGAAGGUUGUCCCGUACCCGAACCGGUUUGUUGUUACCGUUGGAUUCGGAUCAUCCCCAAACAUCUACAAAACAUCUCUGUUUUCUUAUUUGGACUCCCUACCUAUUAUUUUCUCGAUCGUCCGAUUUUAAUCAGAGGGACCAAAUGCCCCUGUCAAAAAUUCACUUGUUAUAUAUAUAGACCUCCGUGUCCAUUUUUAGACCAAACCCUAAUUUCUAGGGAUCCUACCCUAGCGCCGCUGCCACUCUUCCUCGGGAUCUGUCUGAUCCUUCCACCCACCUUCUCCUCGAUCUCCCCACCAGCCCAACCGGAGCGCUCGAACAAGUCUCCUCCUUCCUCGGGAUCGAUCCAGAUCCUACCUGCCAAAUCCCCUCUCGAUCCACCUCGCCGGUGCCUCCUCCUCCAAAUCCGAACGGGAGAGGAGCUCCCGAUCUGAAGCCUCUUUGCGGCCGUUGUCCAGCGCGCCCGUGCCAAGGCCUCGCCUCUUCCUCCUCUGUCUGAUGCCCACCAUCCUCGCAGUCUCCUGCAGCUUCCCGUUGUCGUGACCCCGCUCGCCUCCUCGAGCCGAAGCUCGCCACCGCCGGCGACAGCACCAGCAACAUCGUCGUUGCCCUCCUCCUCUCGUCCCGUGUGCACGUCCACUCAACCUCGCCGCCCCUUCCCUUCCUUCUACCUCUGCCUUCCUCGCUCUCUCAACUCGCUCUCUCUGCUUGUCAACAGGAGCUCCGCCAUGGCCGCCCAGGGCCUUCUCUUGCCUCGAUCCGUCAAGCCCGCCGUCGGGAACGACCUCCAACUCCCAGGGCCCCGGCGACCUCACUGUCCGGGCCUCCUCCGCCGCGCCCGCCGGUGCAAGUCCCUCGCCGUGCCGCUCCUCUGUUUCGUUGGAGCAGAGACGAGGCGACUGCUUCAGCUGCUGCCCUGAUCCGGUCGCUCCGCCUUGGGUCCGGCCGGAUCCCCUUUGACUUCGCCGUCUCCCGCAAGUUCCAGGGCGCCGCUGCUCUGCCUUGUCCUCGCCGGAGUCCAAGCCGCGCCUGCUGCCUCCUCUGCUUCGUGUCGAACCGCUCCAGCCCGCUCGCAUUGACCAAGCCAACCGAGCGCCUCGGCCUAGCCUCCCACGCAAGUCGGCCCAGCCCCAGCUCCAGCCGCGGCCUGCCAGCUCCUUCACCUAGCCGGCCCAUCUUCUCCUCUGGGCCCAAUGUGAGCAGCGAACCAGUUCCAGCCCGAUCUAAUUUUUUUUCUGCUCUGGACGAUUUAUCUAAUUUCCAGAGAAACUGCAUGUUUACAGCAAAACCCUCCAUGUUCAUGCUUUAAUAACUCCACAACCAUGCAUCAGAUUAAAAUGUUUCAAACAUGUAAAAUGCUUAGAAUUUUGUGUAGAUUAAUAAUAUGCCACUUUCAUCCCAUGUUAAAAUGUUUAAAAUGCUGUUUGAUUAAAUUUGCUCAAAUGCCAUGUUAAAAUGAUUUAUUCCAUAACUAAAUCACCGUAGCUCGGAUUUAAUUAAACUUUAUACGUAAAUGGGGUAUAAAAAUGCCUAGUUUAACAUGGUGCACUUUAUUUUGCUGUUUAACAACUUUAAAAUAUGGUUUAGGGCAGAACAGUACCAAAUUCAAAAUAUGCAUAUGAGGAUUUUCCGGAAUUGUUGUUUGUUGUUCCGGCCUCAUUUAAAUUGCCUAAAAUGUUUAGUUUACUUAUGUCUCACAUUUUGCCAUGUUAAUCAACAUUUAAUAUUGUUGGGUACAUAAAUGAGAGAGAACUAAAUAAUUGUUGUGGUGUUUCGUCAAUAUGCAACUCGUUGCAUAUUGAGCUCCAUUUAAUUUGUAGUAUUGUUUAUGCACUUUGCCAUGCCAUGCCUCAUUAAACUGGACAUGCAUCAUACUUGUUUGUGCAUCAUGCCAUGUUUAUGUGAUGAUUGUUUACUAUGUUGUUUAUUUCUUUCCGGGUUGCUUCUCUCGUUACCUUCGGUUUCGUUCCGGAGUUGUGAGGAUUCGUUCGACUUCGUCCGUUUGUCUUCUUCAUGGACUCGUUCUUCUUCCUAGCGGGAUCUCGGGCAAGAUGACCAUACCCUCGAAAUCACUUCUAUCUUUGCUUGCUAGUUGUUCGCUCUAUUGCUAUGCCGCGUUACCUACCACUUGCUUAUCAAGCCUCCCAAAUUGCCAUGAACCUCUAACCUUUUUUCACCCAUCCUAGCAAACCGUUGUUUGGCUAUGUUACCGCUUUUGCUCAGCCCCUCUUAUAGCGUGUUAGUUGCAGGUGAAGUUGAAGAUUGCUCCUUGUUGGAACAUGAAUAUGUUGGGAUAUCACAAUAUAUCUUAUUUUAAUUAAUGCAUCUAUAUACUUGGUAAAGGGUGGAAGGCUCGGCCUUAUGCCUGGUGUUUUGUUCCACUCUUGCCGCCCUAGUUUCCGUCAUACCGGUGUUAUGUUCCUUGAUUUUGUGUUCCUUACGCGGUUGGGUGAUUUAUGGGACCCCCUUGACAGUUCGCUUUGAAUAAAACUCCUCCAGCAAGGCCCAACCUUGGUUUUACCAUUUGCUACCACCUAUCCCUUUUUCCCUUGGGUUCUGCAGACUCAAGGGUCAUCUUUAUUUAAACCCCCCGGGCCAGUGCUCCUCUAAGUGAUGGUCCGCACCGAGUAGACUGCGGGGCCACCUUGGGGAAACUUGAGGGCUGGUUUUACUCGUAGGAUGUCUCAUCCGGUGUUGCCCUGAGAAUGAGAUAUGUGCAGCUCCUAUCGGGAUUUGUCGGCACAUCGGGCGGCUUUGCUGGUAUUGUUUUACCAUUGUCGAAAUGUCUUGUAAACCGGGAUUCCGAGACUGAUCGGGUCUUCCCGGGAGAAGGUUUAUCCUUCGUUGACCGUGAGAGCUUAUAAUGGGCUAAGUUGGGACACCCCUUGGAGGGUAUAAACUUCGAGAGUCGUUCCCGCGGUUAUGUGGCAGAUGGGAAUUUGUUAAUGUCCGCUUGUAGAGAACUUGACACUUGACUUAAUUAAAACGCAUCAACCGCGUGUGUAGCCAUGAUGGUCUCUUUUCGGCGGAGUCCGGGAAGUGAACACGGCUUUUGGGUUAUGGUUGACGUAAGUAGGAGUUCAGGAUCACUUCUUGAUCAUUACUAGUUGACGACCGUUCCGUUGCUCCUCUUCUCGCUCUUAUUUGCGUAUGUUAGCCACCAUAUAUGCUUAGUGCUUGCUGCAGCUCCACCUCACUACCCUUUCCUUCCUAUAAGCUUAAAUAGUCUUGAUCUCGCGGGUGUGAGAUUGCAGAGUCCUCGUGACUCACAGAUACUUCCAAAACAGUUGCAGGUGCCGAUGAUACCAGUGCAGGUGACGCAACCGAACUCAAGAGGGAGUUCGAUGAGGACCUUGGUCGUUACUAUAUUUCGUUAGCUGUUGAUCAAUAGUGGAGCCCAGUUGGGGCGAUCGGGGAUCUAGCAGUUGGGUUGUCUUCUUUUGUUUUGGUUCCGUAGUUGGACCUAUGUGUGUACUCUGAAUGAUGUUUGAAUUCUUUUAUGUAUCGUGUGAAGUGGCGAUUGUAAGCCAACUCUUUAUCCCAUUCUUGUUCAUUACAUGGGAUUGUGUGAAGAUGACCCUUCUUGCGACAAAACCACAAUGCGGUUAUGCCUCUAAGUCGUGCCUCGACACGUGGGAGAUAUAGCCGCAUCAUGGGUGUUAAAAGUUGGUAAUCAGAGCCAUCCCCGACUUAGGAGCCCCCUGCUUGAUCGAAUCGCUGAUGUUGUUGAGUCUAGAACAAAAAUGUUUUGAGUCUUAGGAUUAUAUAUAUCGGAGAGUAGGAUUCUUUUUACUCCUCAGUCCCUUCGUCGCUCUGGUGAGGUUCCCUGACGUAGAAGUUUUGACUUUUCUCUCCUCAAAUUUCACUAAAUUUUUUUUAGGAUCACGCGGGUAUCUUGGAAUCGUUCCGAUGGUUUUGUGACGAGAACAUUGUUCUUGGUGCCUCCUGACAUUUCGGGGUUGUGGCAGUGUCCCGGGGAGUUGAGCUCCGAGGUGUUGUCGUCACAAUUUUAUCAUUGCAGUUCUGGAAUACCUGAGUUUCGCCGACAUCGAAAAUCUCUUUUAUGCAGUUGUUGGUGAGAUCACCUCGACGCCACCCAGUACUGGGGCGGGAGUUCGGGAGUAUUGCCAUAACUCGUAUAACGGAUGCUUUUCGAAGGUUGAGGUAAAUGAUUUCCGAAGGUUUCUUGGUUAUGUGUUGAAGGAUGGAUACAGCUGGAUCUAGGUAUUGUUAGUUUGGGUGAGAUAUAUUGUGUCCCCUGUGUCCCCAACACCUGAUUGCAUAACCAGAAAGUUUCGGGAGUUUAUAAGUGGGAAUUCAAGUAGCUCCUAGGAUAUCUUUCCGACAGAUGCAUGAUAUGAGAUUGGGGUUUGACGUCUAGUGGUCCGCCUUUCCACGGUAGGUUUUACAGUGGUCUCGUAGUGUCUUAAAGAGUCCUUGUCUAUGCCGACUCGGGGACGCUUCGUAUGUCAUGUGCACUACCUUGUACAUGAUGGUGUUGUACGAUCGAGCCCGUGUGGGCCCCACCAUGAAAACUUUAGGCAAAAUCUCUAUCAUAUGUUUGUUCCGGCUUAUUCCGCAAGCCAAAUCCUUUGUUUUUGUUUUGUGGCAUUCGAGUUGCUUCAAUGCCAAGUGUGGAUCCAUACCUUCCCUAAAUGGUGUUCUCAUAUUUCUAUGGGAGUGUUAAUCCUUCUUGGCCAUCAAGAGGCCAUCCCAAUUCUAUUUCUAACCGGUGCGCUUCACUUCAAGAUGAUCCCAUCAUUCUCCCCAUUCGCAAGAUCAAUUCUAAGUUCUCUCAAUUAUGUCUGUUUCAUUCAUCCCAAGUUGACUUUGUUUUUCCCGCCCUCCCACCCUUUUCUUCAAGGACUCAGAUUUCUUAACCAAGUAUCCAUUUUAUUCAUGUGAAGUCCCUUCAUUCUUUUCAAUCAAUGUUCUUAUCCGGUGAUUUCCCAUGAAGAUACUAACGGAGCUUCAAGUUCAUCAUUCUCUUUUCUUCUCCGGUGGACUCAAUUUAAGCUUUCGGUGUUGAUCAUAUUCCUUUUCUCAUUUCAAAUGUUUUUCUCGUACUGGUGCACCUCUUAAUCAUCCACUUCUCGCUAUUCAAUUGUUCCGGAGUGAUGAAGAUAUCUCAGUAGAUUCAAGUUUCCAUUCUCAAUUCACUCAAGUUCUUUUGAGGAUGUUAUCUCAUUCAAGGCAUUUAAUUCAACCGGUGCGAUCUUUCUUUUAAUCAUUCAACGGUGUAUCUUUUGAGUGGGCCCUAACCCACAGGUUUUUUCCCCCAGGAUCUUACCUAACUCUUCUAAUUCUUUCCGGAGUUAUUCUCAAAUUCAUUGCAAAGUUUGACGUAAGAAUGGGUUAUCAUCAGUCAAAUGUCUUUCUCCAAGAUCUUUCAAAUAAUUUUCAUUGUUGAUUCAACCUUUCUAUUCUUCAUGGUUCGGGAGUGCCUCAAAAAUUCAUGGUGGUGUUUCUCAUCAUCAUUCUCAACAUUUCAAGAUCAAGGUAGAAGAAUUUCUCUUGAAUCUUGGUCCGUUCUCUUGAAGAUUCAUGGUUCUAACUUGUUGCCAUCCUCUCAAAUUAUUUCCAAUCGCGCAAUUCUUUUCACCCAUCCGGAGCAAUUCAGAAGUCUUUUCAGUUUGAUUCUCCGGAGCCCAUCAUCUCAGAAUUAUUCAUUCCAGCUUUCAGCUCUCGUUCUCCAAAUCUUACCGGUGCAUCAUUCAAAUAUCCUCUAAUCAGUUCAUGAUCUCUUCGUUCUCAUGUAUCUAAAUUCUGUCAAGUAUCUUUAUUCGUUUUCUAAUUCUUCCCGAUGAAUUGCGCCUUUGCUACUUUCAUUUUCCAAUUCUUACGGUGGUUCAUUCAAGAAUUCUCUUCCAUUGUUAUCGUAUCAAUUCAUUCGUUCUUUUCCAAAUUCUCUUCCGUUGUUACCGGUGGUUCGUUGAAGUCCUUCUCAAGUUUGCGCUAUAUCUCUCUUAAUCCUUUUUAUGAGAAUAAGUAGUAUGCAAAAAUCCAUUGCUUGUUAUCAAUUUAAAUUGGUGAAGGAUACGCAUAACAUAAUUCUUGUUCUUGUUUCAUCCAAGUGAUUAAUUUCUUCUUUCCGGAGUUGUUCAUCAUAUCACAUUCUCGGUUCGAGUUGCUUCAUCUUUAUUUUCUGGAGCUCCAAGUUAUUUCAAUUAUAUCAUUUCAAAGCUUCAUCUAAUCAUUGCAAGGCUUCUCCCGGAGUUCUUUUCAACUUUCCCUUUCGUUUGAUCAUUCUUUUAUUACGGGAGUUCUUCAUGGAGGCUCUACAUGGUGCUUCGUCAAGGAUUCCUUUCAUUCUUAAAUUGUUCUUCAAGAAUUCUCUCGAAGUUAUGAUCCGCCAAAAUAUACUGUGAAAUAAACAUGGUGCUCAACAAAUGUGUUGUUUUGAGGAGUCCAAGCCUUCUUCAUCUUGCAUUCUAAAGUGCAAUUCGUUCUACCUUAUCAUUGGAGGUGGUGUUAUGUCAUUCUUGACAGUUUGAGUUCGCAUUUCAUGAUUCACAUGUUGUCAAGAAUGAGAUAUUUUAAAUCCACCAAUCUCUUCGUUGGAUUUAUCUUGUGUCAUGUUUCACCUAAAGCUUUCCCUAAGGAUUUUUGCUAUUUAUGGUGCUCAUAAAUGACCCAAGUUCUUCAUUUAUCCUCCCGGCGAAAUAAGUUUCUCGUCUCCUUGUUCAUAUCAAUCCAAUCUAUUGUUUUACGUUAGUGGCAGAAUUUCACCUCAAGUUUUUGAGAUGUUUUCCUUAAGCCCACAACAAGCUUGUUCUUUUCGUUGUUGAUUUUUCCAACAACUCCGUUCAAUCCUACUUCGUAAGGAUGCUCUUUAAAAUUCAUUUAUGGUAGGAGAUGUUGGUUUCAUUCUUCGUUCUAUUCACUCCAACUAUCGAACUACCAUGCAUUGUUUCCGGAGGCUUUGUGAUGUUGCUCUCUUCGACCAAUCAUCUUGUUUUGUCAAGAUCAUGUAAUUUUUCCUUUCUUAUCCGUUUAGCCGGAGUGUCGUGUUUUCAUUCGAGUUCUCUCAUCUUAUCAAGUUUUGUCUCCUUCCUCAACCGGAGUGCUGUCUGAAAUAUUUCUUACCCCUUGUGCCAUUCUUUCAUUAGUUCCGGAGGCAAUGUGUUUUUAAUUUCAUCGAGUAUCCUCUCAUCUUGUCAACAUCAUGUUCAAUUCCUUCCAUUUACAGUCGGAGUGCUGCCCAAAUUAUAUCAUUCUCAUUCCUUCUUUAUCUUGUGUUUAACCGGAGUGUUGUGUCUAUCAUUCCUCUUCUAACCAGAGUCUCAUCCAAGUGCUUUCAUUUUGCCAACUCCAUAUUCUACCCCUUCCAUUUUCCAACCGGAGCGUUAUCGUAAUUGAUCAUUAUCGUUCCUUGUACAUCUCGUUUCAACCAGAGUGCUUGCAUGUACUUCUUGUCCAUCUUAACCAUUUUUGUUUGUUUUUCAACCUACAAGGUUCUUGUAAUGGUCCUUGUUCCUCUUGCUGAACGGAGUGUUGUAAAUUUUGCUCACCUCCGUCGUGUCAUUUCUUCAAGCCUUGCGACCUCUCAAGGUUCUUUGGUUUCACCCGUUUGUCAAAGAAGCAAUUUGUUUUACCUCUUCCUCUUCCAUUUCUCUCCGGUGCCGUCCUAGAUCUCGGGACGAGAUUGUCUUGUAGUGGUGGAGUGUUGUAACGCCCCGAGACCGACGCUCCAGACGGCUUCCAUGUUUUGCGUGACCGUCGUGUGUUUUAUUGUUUGUUGCAUUCAUCAUUGCAUCAUCCGCAUUGCAUCGGCACUCAUUGUCGUCAUUGUUUUUAUAACUUGCAUUCGUUCGUAGUUGCCGCGUUUCCCCCUUGUCUUCGUUGAUCGUUCCGAGACCAACCGUGUUUUCGGUUCCCUCUUGUCAAACCAACUAACCUCUCUCGUCAGCCCGCGAUCCCCUCCCGCGCGUCCGAAGGUUGUCCCGUACCCGACCCGGUUUGUUGUUACCGUUGGAUUUAGAUCAUCCCCAAACAUCUACAAAACAUCUCCGUUUUCUUAUUUGGACUCCCUACCUAUUAUUUUCUCGAUCGUCCGAUUUUAAUCAAAGGGACCAAAUGCCCCUAUCAAAAAUUCACUUGUUAUAUAUAGAGACCUCCGUGUCCAUUUUUAGACCAAACCCUAAUUUCUAGGGAUCCUACCCUAGCGCCGCCGCCACUCUUCCUCGGGAUCUGUCUGAUCCUUCCACCCACCUUCUCCUCGAUCUCCCCACCAGCCCAACCGGAGCGCUCGAACAAGUCUCCUCCUUCCUCGGGAUCGAUCCAGAUCCUACCUGCCAAAUCCCCUCUCGAUCCACCUCGCCGGUGCCUCCUCCUCCAAAUCCGAACGGGAGAGGAGCUCCUGAUGUGAAGCCUCUUUCUGGCCGUUGUCCAGCGCGCCCGUGCCAAGGCCUCACCUCUUCCUCCUCUGUCUGAUGCCCACCAUCCUCGCAGUCUCCUGCAGCUUCCCAUUGUCGCGACCCCGUUUGCCUCCUCGAGCCGAAGCUCGCCGCCGCCGGCGACAGCAACAGCAACAUCGUCGUCGCCCUCCUCCUCUCGUCCCGUGCGCGCGUCCACUCAACCUCGCCGCCCCUUCCCUUCCUUCUACCUCUGCCUUCCUCGCUCUCUCAACUCGCUCUCUCUGCUUGUCAACAGGAGCUCCGCCAUGGCCGCCCAGGGCCUUCUCUUGCCUCGAUCCGUCAAGCCCGCCGCCGGGAACGACCUCCACCUCCCAGGGCCCCGGCGACCUCACCUUCCGGGCCUCCUCCGCCGCGCCCGCCGCUGCAAGUCCCUCGCCGCGCCGCUCCUCUGUUUCGUUGGAGCAGAGACUAGGCGACUGCUUCAGCCGCUGCCCUGAUCCGGUCGCUCCGCUUUGGGUCCGGCCGGAUCCCCUUUGACUUCGCCGUCUCCCGCAAGUUCCAGGGCGCCGCUGCUCUACCUCGUCCUCGCCGGAGUCCAAGCCGCACCUGCUGCCUCCCCUGCUUCGCGUCGAACCGCUCCAGCCCGCUCGCGUUGACCAAGCCAAGCGAGCGCCUCGGCCUAGCCUCCCGCGCAAGUCGGCCCAGCCCCAGCUCCAGCCGCGGCCUGCCAGCUCCUUCACCAAGCCGGCCCAUCUUCUCCUCUGGGCCCAAUGUGAGCAGCGCACCAGUUCCAGCCCGAUCUAAUUUUUUUCUGCUCUGGACGAUUUAUCUAAUUUCCAGAGAAACUGCAUGUUUACAGCAAAACCCUCCAUGUUCAUGCUUUAAUAACUCCACAACCAUGCAUCGGAUUAAAAUGUUUCAAACCUGUAAAAUGCUUAGAAUUUUGUGUAGAUUAAUAAUAUGCCACUUUCAUCCCAUGUUAAAAUGUUUAAAUUGUUGUUUGAUUAAAUUUGCUCAAAUGCCAUGUUAAAAUGAUUUAUUCCAUAACUAAAUCACCGUAGCUCGGAUUUAAUUAAAAUUAUGUGUAAAUGGGGUAUAAAAAUGCCUAGUUUAACAUGGUGCACUUUAUUUUGCUGUUUAACAACUUUAAAAUUGGUUUAGGGCAGAACAGUACCAAAUUCAAAAUAUGCAUAUGAGGAUUUUCCGGAAUUGUUGUUUGUUGUUCCGACCUCAUUUAAAUUGCCUAAAAUGUGUAGUUUACUUAUGUCUCACCUUUUGCCAUGUUAAUCAACAUUUAAUAUUGUUGGGUACAUAAAUGAAAGAGAACUAAAUAAUUGUUGUGGUGUUUCGUCAAUAUGCAACUCGUUGCAUAUUGAGCUCCAUUUAAUUUGUAGUAUUGUUUAUGCACUUUGCCAUGCCAUGCCUCAUUAAACCGGACAUGCAUCAUACUUGUUUGUGCAUCAUGCCAUGUUUAUGUGAUGAUUGUUUACUAUGUUGUUUGUUUCUUUCCGGGUUGCUUCUCUCGUUACCUUCGGUUUCAUUCCGGAGUUGUGAGGAUUCGUUCGACUUCGUCCGUUUGUCUUCUUCAUGGACUCGUUCUUCUUCCUAGCGGGAUCUCAGGCAAGAUGACCAUACCCUCGAAAUCACUUCUAUCUUUGCUUGCUAGUUGUUCGCUCUAUUGCUAUGCUGCGUUACCUACCACUUGCUUAUCAAGCCUCCCAAGUUGCCAUGAACCUCUAACCUUUUUUCACCCAUCCUAGCAAACCGUUGUUUGGCUAUGUUACCGCUUUUGCUCAGCCCCUCUUAUAACGUGUUAGUUGCAGGUGAAGUUGAAGAUUGCUCCUUGUUGGAACAUUAAUAUGUUGGGAUAUCACAAUAUAUCUUAUUUUAAUUAAUGCAUCUAUAUACCUGGUAAAGGGUGGAAGGCUCGGCCUUAUGCCUGGUGUUUUGUUCCACUCUUGCCGCCCUAGUUUCCGUCAUACUGGUGUUAUGUUCCUUGAUUUUGCGUUCCUUACGCGGUUGGGUGAUUUAUGGGACCCCCUUGACAGUUUGCUUUGAAUAAAACUCCUCCAGCAAGGCCCAACCUUGGUUUUACCAUUUGCUACCACCUAUCCCUUUUUCCCUUGGGUUCUGCAGACUCAAGGGUCAUCUUUAUUUAAACCUCCCCGGGCCAAUGCUCCUCUGAGUGCUGGUCCGAACCGAGCAGACUGCGGGGCCACCUUGGGGAAACUUGAGGGCUGGUUUUACUCGUAGGAUGGCUCAUCCGGUGUUGCCCUGAGAACGAGAUAUGUGCAGCUCCUAUCAGGAUUUGUCGGCACAUCGGGCGGCUUUGCUGGUCUUGUUUUACCGUUGUCGAAAUGUCUUGUAAACCGGGAUUCCGAGACUGAUCGGGUCUUCCCGGGAGAAGGUUUAUCCUUCGUUGACCGUGAGAGCUUAUAAUGGGCUAAGUUGGGACACCCCUGCAGGGUAUAAACUUUCGAGAGCCGUUCCCGCGGUUAUGUGGCAGAUGGGAAGUGGCGAUUGUAAGCCAACUCUUUAUCCCAUUCUUUUUCAUUACAUGGGAUUGUGUGAAGAUGACCCUUCUUGCGACAAAACCACAAUGCGGUUAUGCCUCUAAGUCGUGCCUCGACACGUGGGAGAUAUAGCCGCAUCGUGGGUGUUACAAGUGGAGAAUAUAACGGAUGAAGACUGAAGAGGCCUUGUUAAACACUGGUCUGAUCCAAAGUAUCAAGUGUGUGAUAUAUAUAUCUGAUGAGAUUACAUGUUGAACUCCCAUUUACGCAUGUGCCUCACAAAUCUAUCUUAUUCUAGGUGAACUGUUCAAAGAACAAGGCCAACCAUACGAAAGUGAAAUUCCAACGGACGACAGGAUCUCGUACCUAUAUUGCACACUGCGAGGCUCUUGUAACUAGCUAUUGUUUCACUCUUUUCGAUGUGCCAUAUUAUCAGAUCCAUACUGACCUAUUCCAAAUGUAGAGGAAAGCCCGGAAGAACGAAAAAGUAACAGAACCAAAUGUUGUGUCAAUAUUCAAGGACUGUCACACCAGCAAGAUGAAGGGCAUGACUACACCAGUCAAAGCAAUUGUUGUAAGUCCUUAAUCCUCAUGCCUUUUAACUACUAGUUACUCUGACUUGUGCAUUGAACUGCACGUUUUGCAGCCAAUGUCUAUUAUUCUUUUCAAUUUUAUACAUGAUAUGUCUCCAAUGCAUCUAUAAUUUUUUAUUGUUCCAUGCUACUAUAUUAUCUGUUUUGGAUGUUUUAUAUGUAUUAAUAUGCUAUUUUAUAUUAUUUUGGGGACUAACUUAUUAACCUAGAGCCCAGUGCCAGUUUCUGUUUUUUCCUUGUUUUUGAGCUUCACAGAAAAGGAAUACCAAAUGGAGUCCAAACGGAAUAAAACUUCCGCGAUGAUUUUUCUAGGACCAGAAGACACCCAGGAGACUUGGAGUGCAAGUCAGAAGAGCCACGAGGCGGCCACAAGGGUGGAGGGCGCGCCGAGGGGGUAGGGCAUGCCCCUACCUUGUGGGCCCCUCGGUGACCCCUUGACCUAGAUCUUCCUCCUAUAUAUUCACAUUUAUUGCAAACCACCAGAAGCAUCCACGAAAACACUUUUCCACCAUCACAACCUUAUGUUCCCAUGAGAUCCCAUCUUGGGGCCUUUUUCGGCAUCCUACCGGAGGGGGAUUCGAUCACGGAGGGCAUCUACAUCAACUCUAUUGCCCUUCCGAUGAAGCGUGAAUAUUUUACCAUAGACCUAUGGGUCCAUAGCUAGUAUCUAGAUGGCUUCUUCUCUCUCUUUGAUUCUCAAUACCAUGUUCUCCUCGAUGUUCUUGGAGAUCUAUCCGAUGUAGUCUUCUUUUGCGGUGUGUUUGUCGAGAUCCGAUGAAUUGUGGAUUUAUGAUCAGCUUAUCUAUGAAUAAUAUUUGAAUCUUCUCUGAAUUCUUUUAUGCAUGAUUUGAUAUCUUUGUAAUUCUCUUUGAACUACCGGUUUAGUUUGGCCAACUAGAUUGGUUUUUCUUGCAAUGGGAGAAGUGCUUAGCUUUGGGUUCAAUCUUGUGUUGUCCUCUCCCAGUGACAGUAGGGGCAGUGAGGCACGUAUUGUAUUGUUGCCAUCAAGGAUAAAAAGAGGGGGUUUACAUCAUAUUGCUUGAGUUUAUUCCUCUACAUCAUGUCAUCUUACUUAAAGCGUUACUCUGCUCUUCAUGAACUUAAUACUCUAGAUGAAGGCAGGAGUCGGUCGAUGUGUGGAGUAACAGUAGUAGAUGCAAGCAAGAGUCGGUCUACUUGACACGGACGUGAUGCCUAUAUUUCGUAAUCACUGCCUUAGAUAUUCUCAUAACUUUGCGCUUUUCUAUCAAUUGCUCGACAGUAAUUUGUUCACCCACCCUAUUAUUUUGCUAUCUUGAGAGAAGCCUCUAGUGAAACCUAUGGCCCCCGGGUCUAUUUUCCAUCAUAUAAGUUUCCAGUCUACUAUUUUGCAAUCUUUCACUUUCCGAUCUAUAUACCAAAAAAACCAAACAUAUUUACUUUAUAUUUUGUUUAGUUUUACCUAACUCUAUCAGAUCUCACUUUUGCAAGUGACCGUGAAGGGAUUGACAACCCCUUUAUCGCGUUGGGUGCAAGUGUUUGAUUGUUUGUGCAGGUAUUGGUGAUUUGUGCGUUGUAUCCUACUGGAUUGAUACCUUGGUUCUCUAACUGAGGAAAAUACUUAUCUCUACUUUGCUGCAUCACCCUUUCCUCUUCAAGGGAAAAACCAACGCAAGCUCAAGAAGUGGCAAUACACAAUUGUCUUAGCGUAUCAUUGCACCUUACAAGUUUAAAAGAGAGGAGUGAUGUUCCUUUUAUCUUGAUCUGUAAUCUAGUUCCAUGAUGUACUUGCCCACACAAUGUUACAAUUGCAUGUUUGUCUGUUCUCAGUUGUUUUGUGAUAUGAAUGAUGUCAUGCUAUGCUUACCGUAUUAUAAACUUUGUCCCUUUAUCCUUAGCUGUCAAUAUAAUGUGAAGAAAUAGACAAUACGUUAGCCAUGGUACAUGGUCAUAUGUUGGAACCUUGUUUUAUUAUGUACUUUGCCGUAAAAUACAACUAAUAUUUUACACCGGUUCAGCAAAAUAAGUUCUCUAUAUAGACCAAAGCUAUUCUAUUUGGUUUUGCUGCCUCCUUAAUAACUUCUGUUCUGGUACUACUAAUGUACAAGCUCAACUUUUCAUGCAAGCUAUGUAACAAAUGGUGCAACUGCCACCUUCUGAAGGUGACAAGGCAACCAUAACCGCAAUGUCACCUCUUGCUGCAGUGGGUCAGUACCUGUCCACUAACAGUGCCAAAAGCACCUUCCUGCGUAAUACUGGAUUGGUUGUUAAGGCAAUCUUGUCCAAACUGCCUCAUGAUCAAGAUAUGCAAGCUCAAAACAAUGUUAUAUCUGCCCUCCACACACAAGUCCAAUUCCUAACAGAGACCCUUUUUGAAACAAGGACAACCAUUGCUAGAUGUCGUCAAGAUAUGCAUGGUUUUGAAACAAGACUAUCAGACAUUUGCUAUGUUGUUCAGGAGCCUAGGAGAAAUGAAGGCAAAGGUUAUGGUACUCCAUCGGACAGUACAACAUGAAAACAUAACAGUCGGGUCAAAUGAACUGAUCUUCUGAACUUCUGAUGGUGCAUUUAUCUGCCGGACUAUUAACUUUUAUGCCAACCUUCGUUUUGUUAUAUGGUUGUAAUAUGUUUUGUUGCGAUACAAAAUUUGUUCUUAACGGGCAGCGACCGGCUGAAGAAAACAGCAAGCCAUUUUUAAUAGUGUAGUGUGUUUCCUAUAUUUGCACUGGUGUUGAACUUUGAUGCCCAGCGGAUGUAAUCUGUGCAGUCGCCUUAAUUGACUAGCGUUAGUUUCUGGCUUAUUUAUUUCCUUAGUCUUCUUUUUCCUUUGUUUGCUAGUGGCCGCAACAACCAUGGGCUAGAUAUGGACCAUGGUAACCUUGAGCCUGCUACGAGUCGUAGGAUCAAUGGGCCUCCUACGGCCGUCGGAUAAAUGGGCCUCCAAUGGGUCAUAGGAUAUAUCGUAGUCGUAGUCAGCAAUAGCUUCCAACCAUCGCUGCUGACGGAGGUUCAGGUCUGGCUAAGUAAACAGAUAUUUCAGACUCUGAUGAUCGGUGAAAAUAUCGCAGCAAUUAGCCAAAAGGUAAUGUCGCCACAACUUUAGUGCAUUGAUAACUGCAGCAACCGCGAGGUCAUGAACUGGGUAGUUCUCUUCAUGAGGGCGCACUUGACAAGAGGCAUAAGCAAUCACCCUGCACUCUUGCAUUAGGACACAGCCUAAACCUUGACAGGAUGCAUCACAAUAGAUGACGGAAUCCUUUUGGGAAUCCGGAGGAGCAAGCACUGGGGUAGAUGACAGCUUGUGCCAUUCGACUUAAGCCCUUGUGAAGCAGAUUAGUCGGGGGCUUGGCAAUCUUGGAGGAGUUCUCGACAAAGCUGCGGCAAUAGCUAGUGAGUCUGAGGAAGCUUCUGACUUGUUUGACGUUCUUUAGGGGAGUCCAGUCAAGAAUGGCUUGAACUCUUUCUGGGUUGACGUCGAUACCAUCCUUGGAGAUCACAUGCCCAUGGUAGGUUACUUCGGGUAGCCAGAAUUCACACUUGGAAGACUUGGCACAAAUCUGAUGCUCUUGAAGCUUUUUUAGAACAAGAUGGAGAUGUUCAGCAUGUUCUUCGUUAUUCUUAGAAUACACAAGGAUAUCAUCCAGAUAGACCACGACGAACUUGUCGAGUAUUCCAUGAAGAUAUAGUUCAUCAGACAAGAGAAUGUCGAUGGAGCAUUGGCCAGGCCGAAAGACAUGACAGUGUACUCGUAUGAAAAAUAGCGAGUAACGAAUGCGGUCUUGGGAAUAUCCUCUUCACGACCCUGAUCUUGUGAUAACCCAACCUCAAGUCAAGUUUAGAGAAUACAUAGGAUCCAGCAAGUUGAUCAUACAGAUCAUUGAUCCGAUGAAGGGGAUACUUGCUCUGAAUUUUAGUUUGGUUGAUAGGUCGAUAGUCCUCGACCAAACGGUUUGUUCCAUCCUUCUUCUUGACAAAGAGAGAAGGUGCUCCCCAAGCAUAGGAACUUGAAUCAAUGAAACCACUGCGAAGAGAUUUGUCGAUUUCCUCCUUAAUCUCAAGGAGUUCAUGAGGCAGCAUCUUGUUGGGUCGUUUGGCGAAUGGUGCCUGGUUUCAAGUUGAUGACAAAUUCGACAAUCCGAGUAGGAGGUUGAUACGUCCAUCUUGCAUCAUGUUUUCUUACUGUAUCCAUAAUAAUUCUUUUUCGAGGAAUUCUAAUGCCUUUUCUCUUAUAAUAUGCAAGGUAUACACAAAAAGGGAGAAUUCCAGCAGCUAGAAAUCUGGACCUGAAAAAGCUAUGUCAGGCUAAAUAUUCUGCACAACUCCAAAUGAGCUAAAACUUCAUGAGGAUUUUUUAUGGAGUAUUUGAGAAUUAUUGGAGCAAAUAACUACCAGAGGGGGCCCACCAGGUGGGCACAACCCACCUGGGCGCGCCAGGCAGCCCAGGCGCGCCCUGGUGGGUUGUGCUCACCCAGGCCCACCUCCGGUGCCCAUCUUCUGGUAUAUAGGUCAUUUUGACCUAGAAAAAAAGGAGAGGACCUUCGGGACAUAGCGUCGCCGUCUCGAGGCGAAACUUGGGCAGGAGCACUUUUGCCCUCCGGCGGAGCGAUUCCGCCGGGGGAACUUCCCUCCCGAAGGGGGAAAUCAUCGUCAUCAUCAUCACCAACACUCUCCCAUCUUUGGGAGGGAAAUCUCCAUCAACAUCUUCAACAGCACCAUCUCAUCUCAAACCCUAGUUCAUCUCUUGUGUUCAAUCUUGUUACCAGAACUAUAGAUUGGUACUUGUGGGUGACUAGUAGUGUUGAUUACAUCUUGUAGUUGAUUACUAUAUGGUUUAUUUGGUGGAAGAUUAUAUGUUCAGAUCCAAUAUGCUAUUUAAUACUCCUCUGAUCAUGAGCAUGAUUAUCAUUUGUGAGUAGUUACUUUUGUUCUUGAGGUCACGGGAGAAAUCAAGUUGCUAGUAAUCAUGUGAACUUGAUAUGUGUUCGAUAUUUUGAUAGUAUGUAUGUUGUGAUUCCCUUAGUGGUGUCAUGUGAACGUCGACUACAUGACACUUCACCAUAUUUGGGCCUAAGGGAAUGCAUUGUGGAGUAGCAAUUAGAUGAUGGGUUGCAAGAGUGACAGAAGCUUAAACCCCAGUUUAUGCGCUAUUGUGUAAGGGAUCGAUUGGAUCCAAAAGUUUAAUGCUAUGGUUAGAAUUUAUUCUUAAUACUUUUCUCGUAGUUGCGGAUGCUUGCGGGAGGGUUAAUCAUAAGUAGGAGGUUUUUUCAAGUAAGAACAACACCUAAGCACCGGUCCACCCACAUAUCAAAUUAUCAAAGUAGCGAACACAAAUCGAACCAACAUGAUGAAAGUGACUAGAUGAAAUUCCCGUGUACCCUCAAGAAUGCUUUGCUUAUCAUAAGAGACUGUUUUGGCAUGUCCUUUACCUCAAAAAGGAUUGGGAUACCUUGCUGCACUUUUGUUACUACUAUCGUUACUUGCUCGUUACAAAUUAUCUUGCUAUCAAACUACUCCGCUACUUACAAUUUCAGCACUUGCAGACAUUGACUUGGUGAAAACCACUUGUCAUUUCCUUCUGCUCCUCGUUGGGUUCGACACUCUAACUUAUUGAAAAGGGCUACAAUUGACCCCCUAUAAAAUGGUGCCCCUCAUGAAGCAUCCACCUUACUAAGCCAUUACUUGUGUGCAUCUCUAGUUUCCUUGCAGGUUGUAAGUUUUUAUUAGGAUAGCUGUAAAUUUCUUCUGUUUUCUUGUAGUACAACCUGUACUGGUUGGGACAAAAACACUGCUUUUGGUGUACCUGUACUGUUCAUCACCAUGGCCACUACUAUUUGGCCCUCUGUGUCCAUCACCAUGGCCACUACUAUUUGGCCCUCUGUGUCCAGCAAUAUCUUUAAGGCAAAUCUGGCUGGCAAUUUGGCCCUCUGUGUCCAUCACCAUGGCCACUACUAUUUCAAACUGAAGAAAGAAAGGAAGAGAUGAUUUUGCAGGUACCCCGAGAGGCCCUUGAGUUUGCCGGAAUGUCGAUUAACUUCCGUUCCGGCAAAUUCGGGUACUCCAUAUGUCCUAUUUUCAGCAAAGGUCAUGCUGAAAUUUUCCGUCAAUUUUAGCAUGACUUUGCUAAAAAUAGGACAUAUGGGGUACUUGCGACUAAUGCAUGGGCCGGGGUAUCUUAGUACUUAAUUAAGUAGGAUCAACUGCCCCUGUAUUCUUGCUGCAUUAAACCAUAGGUGGCAAUAGAGCCAAGUGAUUAGGCCCAACUUAGAGUCGACAAACCCUAAAUUAUAAAACCAUGGCUUUUAGGGUGCCUCGGUGUCGAUAAAACCUAAAUGAUGAAAGCUUAGGCUUUUAGGGUGCCUCGGCGUCGACAAACCCUAAAUGAUAAAAGCUUAGCUUUUAGGAUGCCUCGGUGUCGACAAACCCUAAAUGAUGAGACCAUGAUCUUGUUCCUUGACAAUAACCAACUUUUUGACCAAACUUUUUUCCUAUUGAGAAACAUGGCCCACAACGAUGAGGCUGGCGGUUCGGGCGGCAAGGCAUUAUGGGAGUUUUCCUAGGAGAUGGAGGAAGAACCUCACCGCUAUGAGGACGCCGCGGAAGACACCGAUCCUGACUACACAACCCCUAGUGGCGUCGGGGAUGACACCACUGAGGGUGCCGCCGAGGAUGCCACCACUGAUGAUGGCAGCGCACGCACAGAUGGCAGCCAAUCGAAGAGGCAACGAAAGGAUCGGCGCCCGAACGUGCUCGGCACCGUCAAGGAGGAAUUUACUGAAGUGAACUGCGACGGGGAUCCAACGGCUCCCAAAGAAUUAGUCAAGGGGUACUCGGUUCAGCUCGGGUGCAUUCUCCGGAGCACCGUCUCGAUCAACACCGAGAACCUAAGGCAUAAGGACCGAGGGAAUUUGCGCAUCUCCUCUUCACGAAGCUGCACGAACGAUACAAGUUCCCCGCUGAGUUUGCAAACACACGCCUCUCAGGGAAUAAAGUGAACAGUGCUGCCAUCACGAAGGUGAGCACGGCUCUGUCUACUUGGAGAAGCGCGGUGAAGAGAAUGAUUAACAAAGGUGAUAGUUAUGAGAAGAUCAAGGCGAAAAAUCCUUCGAUCAGCGAAGAUGACUACAAGGAGUUCAAGAUCAAGUGCGAGAGUGGCGCAUCCGAGGAAUCAAGUCAGUGGGGGAAAGAGAUGCGGGACUUGAACUUAGGGGUCCACAAACUCGGUCCCGAUGGUUACAGAGUGGCGGAACCUAUAUGGGACAAGGAGGACGUGGAGCGUGCCGAGCAAGGCCUACCGCCCCGCUUCGAGAAAUACCAUGAGAAGCAGACCAGGACCAAUGUCAGGGCUCGGUACAAGGAGGACCCGGUAACAAAGGAGCUUACCACGGAUCCGAAGACCAAGGCGCUUGAGAAAGUUCUGGUAAGGAAUACACCCCCGCGUAAUUAGCUACAUAUAUGGUUGCAUUUUAGUUAAUGAAGCCAAAUUUCUAAAUGGUUCACAUUCCUUCCGCAGGAGACUGCAAGCAGUAGCGCGGGGUCGUCUCAGAGCUCCCCAGCUUGGGACAGCACUCUAAAUAGGGCGUUGAACAUAAUGAAAAACAAGGAUAAGCUCAGUAAGCCGUCGUCAGCUGGUCGUGUGGCCGGCAAAGGCUUGUCCACAAAAUGGUCGUCAUACUAUAACGCUGGUGGGUGAAGGGAGAAAAAGACCAGCUCAGAAAGCCAGUCGCGCGAGGUUCAAGAACUCAAGGCACAAGUGGCGCGGAUUCCGGAGAUUGUCCAAGAGCAAGUGCAACAACAACUGGGAACGAUGCUCACCGCCAUUGUGCCUAGCUUGAUUGAGGGGCUGCAGGCGUGGAUUGCGGGCGGCCAACAGGGGCCGCCCCCGGUUCCCAGCUUCAUGGCUAGCAACUCGCACAACCCGCAGGCGGGGCCAUUGGUGUCUCUGGCGGAGGCGGUAUUGGUGUCUCUGGCGCCGGCACGGGCAUUGGAGCUUAAUGCACCCGGGUGUACGCCGGCCGGCCCCUCCGUCAGUUGCACGCCCGCCGUUGGCGGUGCCUCGACAUUAGCCGAGCUCGACGCCAUCACGGUAACUAAGCCUCUCGGUCGAUGACUUCAUCUCCUUGCCUUUGACUGGGCAUCCCUGACGCCCAACAUGUUUUCGCAGGGCGCCGCCGACGUUCCAUGCACUCUCCUACACUUCGUGGGUGGCGAGUUGAUCGAUGUCGCCAAGGGCAGAAUCGUUCAACCGGGCAACCCCGUGUUCCACGGUAAUCCGAUGCCACCCACCGUGUAUAGGGUUGAACUGGUUCGGGUGCUGCCAGGCUGCGACGAGUUGUUACCUCCGAUUCGACCCGCUGGGGCCGACGAAGAUGAUGUGAUGACCCUCAGCGCCUGCGUAAGUUGGCCCCUGCUUUGGCCGAAGAGCCAGAUUCGUUUGGGGGCGGGGGACACCACCCCACAGACAACACCGCCAGUCGUGCCGGCGCCAAGCCAUGGCAAGACCGCCGCAACGCUACCGGACAUGCCGGACAUCCCUAUGGCACAGGAUCCGGACAUGCAUAUGACACAGGAUCCGGACGACGACGACAACGACGACGGUACAUUUACCAACGUCAAUAAGUACUUUGCCGAACAUGGGUACGGUGAUGAAUUCUUCGGGCCUCCUUCUCAAGAACCCAACCCUGAAAAAGACGACCACGAUCGAGCUGGUACCGCGGAGAAACCCAAUUGCAAUAGGUGUCGUAUGGCGUUCAGUUCUCAGGAGACGCCUCCAGCUGCCGCCUUCACCGAGCCUCAGAUAGCCGAGGUGUGGAAUAUUAUCAGCCCCAAAACACUCAAGAAGGCUGUCUCUAAGCAGAACUCGAUCCCAUUACAAGAGAUGAGGAAGAAGGGACGGAAACGAAAGAAUAACAAGGGCGGUGCGAGCCAGCCGGCACCGAGUACAAUCCGUGCUCAGGACGGGCCACCUUCACCUAAGGAUAUCUCGAGGAGGGUGCAUGUGGCGGGUAGGCCGAUGCUACCGACUAAUCUGCUCAAUGCUGCAACCGGUGCUAUGCGGAGUCUGCAUGACAGUGUUCUUUAUUUGGAGAAGCGGCGUCUCUCCGAGAAUGAUGUGGCAUACCCGGUUUUCAUGGCCAAGGUUCCACAGGGCAAGGGCUUUGUGGAUAGCACCAUUGGGGGUACGAUCGUCCUGCGGUUUGAUGACAUCUUCGCUAUGUUUAACCUUCAUCCGCUGCACUACACCUUCGUUCGGCUAUUUUCGUUGAGUAUGGAGAUGCGGAUCAUUAGAGACAAGACCCCGGACAUCGUGAUAGUCGACCCCUUCUACAUGUGUGCCAAGAUCUUGGGCAGCGCUGGGGACCGGCAAGUCACGAGUUCAUACCUCGAAGGCGUCAUUCUGGCAAACCCAGAUAAGGAUAACUUCCUCUUGCCUUACUUUCCCGAGUAAGUCAUCCCCUCACCGCCCCGUAACAUAUGAUUUCUUAGAUUUCGAUCGUUCUUUUUUUUCUAACAUUCCGUGUUUUGUGCAGUGACACACAUUGCACACUCAUCCUCUUAAGCCUGAAAUAUUCCAUGGCCACGUAUUUCGACCCGGACCGUCAGUCGAAGAUAGCCUACACAAAUAUCAAGAAAGUUCUUGAUGAUGUUCUCCCCAGCUACGCCAAAUCUGGAGGCACCUUCAGCAAGCCAGUUCGUAAGUACGGCAAGCACAUCUUCAGCCACAAUACGACGUUCUCCUGCGUCAAGCAGCCGCCUGGCAGUCAGAAGGAUGCCUACUACGCCCUCCAUCACAUGCGGGCGAUCGUACGGGACCAUAAUCACCUUCCGCUACCAAAUAAUCUCAAAGAUUGGGCCGCACGCUUGUCGGCAAUCCAGGACGCGGACGUCAGACAAGAACUCUUUCACAUCCAGUCGGAGUUUGCGGAAAUCAUCCAUCAAGAUGUCCUUCGUACCUCGGGGCAGUUCUAUCUCAGACAUCAGCCGUCCAACAGUGAGAUAGAAACAACACUACAAAUGGAGGCUGACAACGCCCGCGAUUUCAUGACCAUCACGAAAGACGGCGGCUUCAUCCACGCUCCGGUCCCUGAGUCGAGUCGAAAGUAGUGAUGCUAUGUAGUUCUGAAAUGUCGAUUGGCUCAUGUUGUAAUAUUAAACUUUAAUGAACUUGUAUGUCUCUUUGGUUUGGACAGUCGUUCAACUUAUAUGUAAUCGACGCUAUUUAUUUAGGACCAUGAAUCGUGCUAUUAAUGUGUUGCUUUUCUCUUUCGAUCCUUUUGUUGCAUACUUAUAUAUUGCUUAUGUAUUGUCUGUGAAUUGCUACUAACAUUUUGUUUGGCUAGUGCAUAUAUAGAGAUGCCGUCGUAUGUCGUGUACAAGGGUAAGGUUCCCGGAGUCUACGACGACUGGGAGGAGUGUCGGAGACAGGUUCACCGUUUCAGCGGUAACAGUUACAAAGGGUACACCACUAGGGCGGAGGCGGAAGUUAGAUACGCGCGCUAUCUAGCGGGAGAGAGGAGGGAGCGGAGGAGGAACCAGAUGAAGACCAGUUUCAUCGCGAUGAUGCUAAUCGUGAUGACCGCAGCUCUCUUCUAUGUGAUGGUAGUUUAGAUGAUCGAUAUCAACUUGUAAUGUGAAGACAAACUCGCUACUCGCGGUUUCGAGACUUGUAAUGUUAUAACUUUGUUCGGUACUUGAAAUUCGGAGACUUAUAUGAUGAAUUGUAUUCGGAGACUAAUCUUCUAUUGUAUUCGAUAAAUCUGUUGUUCAUAUGUUGUGCUCUUUAUAUUAUGUGCAGUAAUAUGUUUUGUAACCUGUGCAAAAAUCAGAAAAGAAAAAAAUCCCUAAUAUUCAUACUAAUGGCGCACCACUAAGCACACUAAUGGCGCACUGCAAAAAGGACACUAAUGGCGCAUCACCCCCCAGUGCGCCAUUAGUAUGCCAAGGCACAUGGGUAAAUAUGGCCCCUGGAAGGCAUACUAAUGGUGCACGGUGGGCUACACUAAUGGCGCACUGCGUGGUGCGCCAUUAGUAUACCAGAUACUAAUGGCGCACCAGGGGUGCGCCAUUAGUAUUUAAUUCUAAUGGCGUCGUGCUAGUGGCGCACCAGUAGUGCGCCAUUAGUAGGCAAAACUGGUGCGCCACUAGCAGGCCUUUUCCUAGUAGUGUACAGAGGCUUGGAGCGGCGAACUUGCGAUCUAGGUUAUGUUCUAGAGGUUUUGGGAUUUAUAGGAGGUGUUGGCGUCGGGGGCAAGUCAGGGGGCACGAGGCAACGACAAGGACGGGGGCGCGCCCUCCACCCUUGUGGUGGCCUCGGGACUCUUCUCCGAUAUCUUUUUGUUCCAGUGUUUUUUAUAUUUUCCAAAAAUAUUCUCCAUAAAUUUUCAGGUCAAUUGGACUCCGUUUGAUAUUCCUUUUCUACGAAACUCAAAAACAAGGAAAAACAGAAACUUGCACUGGGCUCUAGGUUAAUAGGUUAGUCCCAAAAAUCAUAUAAAAUAUCAUAUAAAUGCAUAUAAAAUAUCCAAGAUAGAUAAUAUAAUAGCAUGGAACAAUCAAAACAUAUAGAUACGUUGGAGACAUAUCAGUAGACAAGAGUAAACACUUGGCAAUGUAAGAAGAACUCUUCUUUUGAAGAUCAUCAUUGAUUGCUUUUAGGAACCCAUGCUCUUGCCCUAAAUUUAGCUUCUCGAAGCGUAGCUUCUCAUGAGUCUUUAGGAGCUCUCCGUGAUCCUCUAGUGUUGUUUCAUGAGCUAACUUAAGAGUGUUUAGUUCUUUAGUUAGACGCUCAAUCUCCUUCUUAUCAUUGUCAUUCGUUUCAUCUUGAUUAGCAUGAUUAAUAGCAAUUUCAUCAUAGUUGUCAUCACUAGUGUUCUCAACAAGUAAAUCAUCAUCACCUAGCAAAUCAUCUUCAUCACUAUUGAAAUCAACAUACUCGGGGUGUGAUACCUUAGGGCCUUUAGCCAUGAAGCAUCUUCCAAUUCCUUCAUUUGGUGAGUCAAAUAUGUCGUAGGAGUUGGAUGACACAGGUGCAAGACCGGCAACACCUUCAUCUUGAGUACAUUCAGAGUCGGAGUGAUAACUUCUCUCGGAGUAGUUGUCGGAGUCGGAACCGGAUACCCAUUCACCAACAGGAGCUUGAUGUCUUCGUCUUGUGUAGCUCUUUCAUGACUUGUCCUUCCUUUCUGAAUCCUUGCUUCUACAAGAGGUUCUUCGUUCAUAACGAUCAUCUCUACUCCCUCUCUCUCUUGGUGGUGAUUCAUCUCUUUUACUUCUCCUCUUAGGUGAAUCUUCUCUUCUCUUGUAGGGAGCCUUACACUCAUUGGAGUAUUGUUCGGGUCUUCCACAAUUGUUGCAAUUGCGAUCAUGACUAGAAGAUCUUUUGUCAUUGUAGGACCUUGACUUGGGACUUCUCUCUUUGCUUCUAUUCUUGUAGAAUUUGUUGAAGUUCUUCACCAUUAAGCUCAAUUCUUCAUUCAAGACUUGUUUCUCACUUGAUGUUGUAGGAGCAUCACAUGAAGCUUUAUAAGCACCACUAGAUUUGCUAUGGAGCUCCUGCUUAUCCUUGAGUGACAUCUCAUGAGCAACAAUUCUACCAAUGACUUCUGUUGGCUUGAGAUCUUUGUAGUUGGACAUCAUUUGGAUCAAGGUGCACAUGGUAUCAUAUUUUCCAUCCAAGGCUCUUAGGAUCUUCUUGAUGAUGAAUCUGUCGGUCAUCUCUUCGCUUCCUAAGCCGGCAAUCUCAUUUGUGAUGAGAGCAAUCCUAGAGUACAUCUCAGCGACUCCUUCACCAUCCUUCAUUUUGAACUUGUCAAGUUGAUUUGAAGUACAUCCAAUUUGGAUUCCUUGACGGACUCGGUACCUUCAUGCAAAUCAACCAAAGUAUCCCAUAUUUCCUUUGCAUUCUCAAGGCGGCUGAUUUUGUUGAAUUCUUCAAGGCACAAUCCGUUGAAGAGAAUAUCGCAAGCUUGAGCGUUAUAUUGCAACAUCUUCAAUUCUUCCGCGCACGCUUCACGAUCCAGUUCUCUUCCAUCCUCAAAGUAUUCACCUUGCAAGCCAAUAUGCACAAUAGCCCAAAUGACGGGGUUAUGACCAAGAAUAUGCAUUUUCAUCUUAUGCUUCCAACUAGCAAAAUUAGUACCAUCAAAGUAAGAACCUCUACGGUGGUAAUUUCCCUCGCUAGACGCCAUACUCUCAUAGGUUGUGAAACCAAGGCUAUGAUCACCAAAGCUAUGGAAAUCAAGGCAAAUGGAGACCAAACCUUGGAUACCACUUGUAGGAUCAAAAGUAGGUCUAGAGGGGGGAUUAGACUACUUGACCAAAUAAAAAUCUAACCUUUUCCUAAUUUUUAGUGUUGGCAGAUUUUAGCAACUACUACAAGUCAGGCAAUCAAACUACACAUGCAAUUCUAAGAGUGUAGCAGUGGAAGGUAAAACUUUGCAUAUGAAAGUAAAGGGAAGGGUUUGGAGGAGGCAAAUGCAAUGUAGACACGGAGAUUUUUGGCGUGGUUCCGAUAGGUGGUGCUAUCGUACGUCCACGUUGAUGGAGACUUCAACCCAUGAAGGGUAAUGGUUGCGCGAGUCCACGGAGGGCUCCACCCAUGACGAGUCCACGAAGAAGCAACCUUGUCUAUCCCACCAUGGCCAUCGUCCAUGAAGGACUUGCCUCACUCGGGUAGAUCUUCACAAACUAGGCGAUCUCCUUGCCCUUACAAACUUCUUGGUUCAACUCCACAAUCUUGUCGGAGGCUCCCAAGUGACACCUAACCAAUCUAGGAGACACCGCUCUCCAAAAGGUAAUAGACGGUGUGUUGAUGAUGAACUCCUUGCUCUUGUGCUUCAAAUGAUAGUGUCCCCAACACUCAACUCUCUCUCACAGAUUUGGCUAUGGUGGAAAGAUGAUUUGAGUGGAAAGCUACUUGGGGAAGGCUAGAGAUCAAGAUUCUUGUGGAAGGAUUCGAAUGUCUUAGUCUCAACACAUCAGUAGGUGGUUCUCUCUCAGAAAAUGACUAGUGGAAGUGUAGGCACGUUCUGAUGGCUCUCUGACAUAUGGAGAAGGGGUGGAGGGGUAUAUAUAGCCUCCACACAAAAUCCAACCGUUACACGCAUUUGACCCAACUCGGUCAGACCGAAUAGAAGAACUCGGUGAGACCGAUUCAGUUCAAAAUGUGAACGUUAGGAAUCUCGGUGGGACCGACUGGAAUAACUCGGUGGGACCGAUGUGCUAGGGUUAGGGCAAAACCACAUCUCGGUGAGACCGAUGGCUUGAACUUGGUGAGACCGGUUUUAGCAAAGAGCAAACAGAGAGUUGGUCAAGCAAACUCGGUGGGACCAAUUGCACAUCUCGGUGAGACCAAAAUAAUUACAACGGGCAACAGAGAUUUUGCAGGGCCAUCUCGGUGAGACCGAGAUCCGUAUCGGUGUGACCGAAUUGUCUAGGGUUUCUGGCAAGGGCUAUGUCAAAUGAACUCGAUGGGCCCGCAUAGGUCAUUUCGAUGGGGCCGAGUUUGACUUUGACAUGUGGACAUAUUUGGAAAUGAGAAAGUGGCUGAGGAUUUUGGAGCAAUAUCACUAAGCACUUUGAGCAAGUAGACCAUUAAGCAACACCUCAUCCCCUUUCAAUAGUAUUGGCUUUCCUAUGGACUCAAUGUGAUCUUGGAUCACUAAAAUAGAAAUGUAGAUUCUUGAGCUUUUGCCAAUCUUUGUCCUUAGCAUUUUGAGGGGUCCACAUCUCUAGUCCAUGCCAUGGCAAUCAUUGAAGUUCCUCAAAUAUUUAACUUGAAUGGAUAUUAGUUCAAUGAGCUAUAUGUUGUUAUGAAUUACCAAAACCACCCCGGGAUUAGUUGCGCUUUCACAAAACAAUCCAAACGCAAACGAAAAGCUGGCACCAAACAAGCAAAGACAACCCUAGUUGUUGCAGCACCUUCUUCCAAAGUACAACAUCUGCACGAGUUACUCGUUUGUCAACUCAGCUAGUGGCAAGUUCCCAAGCUCCCUUGCCACCUGACACUACUUCUGAAGCACUCUUGCCACAAGAGGAGUUGGCAAGAUCAGAUGUACCUUGUGAGCUUAAACAUAAGAAGGUAGUUGCUCGAGUCAAGUAAUAGUUGUGUGCUUCUUUAUAUGUAGUCUCACAGUUUGAUGUACACUAACACUUCCUAUGUUCGUUGGUGGAAUAGCACCUAGGCACAAGAGGAAACAGACUGUGAUGCACCAAGAUCGAUGCUCUAGUCGCCUUCCGUUUGUUUCGACGUUGUCGUGUGUUUAUUUUUUUUGUUGCAUUAUCAUAAUUAUUUUGCAUAUUUUAUUCCUCUAUGUUGGUUGCAUGAUCAUGUUGAGUGCCUUGUCAUAUCUCUGCUUCUUGCACCAUGCUCUUUUCACUUUGUUAUGCCAUGUGUUGCAUUGUGCCCUUGUCAUUUUGCAUUUCAUCAUGCUCAUCAUGUGCAUUGUGAGAUUCAUCUUGUGUUUAUGUUCAACCCCUUUGUUUCCUCUCUCAACCUAUGAAUGCACCAUGUUUGUGGAGCUCUCCGUGAUCCUCUCGCAUGUUUCAUGAGCUCGCAUGUUUGUGGUGAGUACCUGAUUCCUCCCCAUGCCUUUAUCUUGCUCGAUCGCGUCUUGUCCCUCCCGAUUCCUUCCCAGCCGAGCGCGUCGCCGCUCGUUGUUGUCACCGGAGAUCCUCCGGUGGCCUCCUUCCUGUUUCCUUGCAUCGCUGGGUCUAGGGUUCUUUGUAGGUGCGUCUUCAUCCUGUUGUUAGCCCUUUCACCCCGCAGUUCGCCGUGUUGGGUUGGUCUCUGCCGCCUCUGUCCUCCCUAUGCUAGUGAUGUCUCUAUCGUCAUUCGGUGUCGUGACUGGCACGCGGGAGUGUGUAUUUGUCCCGUGCAUUGAUAUUGCCAAUCUGCCGUAGCUUUUGGUCGCUGGAGUUUCCUUCGAUGAGCUCGCCCAAUGUCCUUCUCGCAUGCGCCGACAUGCUCCUCUGUUUGCUCUGCUUCUUGCUUGCACACAUGCCUGCUGGUUUUGUUGCUUUGCUGCACCUUCGCUGCACACCUCCAUGCACACGCAUCUGCACACGCGCACGGCCGCGCUCGAUUGCGAGCCUGUGGCCCUGCUUCGUCUUCCCGCAGCCAUGGCCGAGGCGACCUCGAGCUCUUCCUCGAGUCUUCUUCAUGGACUCGAUCUUCUUCCGAGCAGGAUUUCAGGCAAGAUGACUGUUACCCUCGAUACUACUACUAUCUUUGCAUUUCUAGUUGUCUCGAUGCUAUCGCUAUGUCGCGCUACCUACCACUUGUUUAUCAAGCCUCCCAAAUUGCCAUGAUAAGCCUCUAACAUUUUCCACCAUUCUAGCAAACCGUUGUUUGGCUAUGUUACCGCUUUGCUCAGCCCCUCUUAUAGCGUUGCUGGUUGCAGGUGCAGUGCAGGUUGUUCCAUGUUGGGACAUGGAUAUCAUGGUAUAUCACAAUAUCUCUUAUUUAAUUAAUGCAUCUAUAUACUUGGUAAAGGGUGUAAGGCUCGGCCUUUUGCCUGGUGUUUUGUUCCACUCAUGCCGCCCUAGUUUCCGUCAUACCGGUGUUAUGUUCCUUGAUUUUGCGUUCCUAACACGGUCGGGGUUUAUGGGCCCCCCUUGACAGCUCGCUUUCAAUAAAACUCUUAAAGCAAGGCCAAAUAUUGGCUUUACCAUUUGCGCAACAUAAUAAUAAACAUGAUAAUAAAUUUGACUGUCGGUGUACAAAAGUAGGGGCUCUCCUUUUGACCCCUUUACUUGUGCACGGGCAGUCAGAGCCGUGCCCGCGGCCACACUUAACAAGGCAGAGGAGGGAAGCCGGAGGGAAACCGAAGUACAAGAUAAACAAGACAAUGCCAAGACCAGAAGCAUUGAAGAGCAAAGGGGCGAGGUGGACUCCCUCGGCAACGCCCUUGCCGGGGCAGCCUCCGCGGCCCCGACAAGAGCCUUGCCGGGGCAGCUUGCCCAACACCAGUAGAGUGGGCCACCCUUGAGCCCAAGGGUUCCAAACGCCGCCAACAACUACAUUUGUCAAGAUCAUGAACACACAAGAUCAGAUGAGAACCAGAAGACAACGACCCUCGUCGGGAUCCUAGCCGAGGAAAUCCACAAGACCCCCCGCAAGAUCCUUGCCGGGGACGACCACGACGCCACGGCAAGACCCUUGCCGGGGCCCCGGCAAGGCCCUUGCCAAGGACACCAGCGGGGCCGCAGCCAGGCCCACGUCUACCAAGACUACACCACCGUUCCCAAGCAGCUACUAGCUCACCCAGCUGGGAGGGCACCUACGUGGCGACGGGCGGCCUCUACACCGACCCAGCAAGCACCUGCGUGGUGGCAUGCAGAUCUUCAUGAAGACUACACCACCGCGCCAGCCCAGCAGCCAGCCAACGUGGCGCCGUGAUGCCUCGUCAGCUCGGAUGUGUGUCGAAGCCAGGCGAGGCGGCGACAGCUGGGAUGUGCUUCCUUGCCGUCCCCGAUAAAGUGAGGGGGCACGUCGGCAGCGCAUUAAAUGCGUUUGUUCGACGGUGCCACAGGAUAGACUCAUCCACUGUAGACCUUUCCACCUCCUGUGAGCCAUCGUGGCAACCCCUUUUUUCCUAUAAAAGGAGGCCCAAGGCGACCAGGAGAAGGAUUCGGAUCUUUUCGGCAAGUCACACCCCCUAGCAAGCUCAAAAACACAAGAACAUUCAAAUACAUCCACCAAAGCAGGACUAGGGUAUUACGCAUCUCCGGGUCCCGAACCUGGGUAAACGAUCUGUGUGCUUCUUGUCAGACCCGCUCUUUGCACAACCCCGCGCCAGCAACCGUACAAGGGAUCCCAGUGAUUCCAUAGGUGUCGAUUUCCCCCCAACAUCUUUGGCGCGCCAGGUAGGGGGCGCAGUUGUGGAAAUCUGGUCUGAUCGGAGCAGCGGCUUCAUCAUGGCCGUCGUUCCGAGGAAAUAAGAUGACCAAUAUUGACCGCGCCAUCUGCAGAUGCGGUGGACGCCCGUGCAACGACAGAAAAGCUAAGUCGUGCGAAACUUUAAGCAAUUUCUUUUUAUAUAUAAGGUUAUUGUCCUCGAAGGUCCUGCCCUAUGUAUGGAAAACCUGCAGGCAAGGGGGCCCUCACGCUAUUGGCAACGCCCUUGCCCUAUUUCGAGUCCGCUCAACAGCUCAAGCGGCCACGUCGAGAGCGGCAGGGUAGCCUUCCGCAAUUGGCUACGCUCUCGAUUCUGACUCGAGUCAAGCUCGACAGUUCGAGCGGCCGCGUUGAGGGUGGUAAGGUGGUUCGCCUGGCAGCAAGCAUACCCGGCAGGCUAUUGGGGAUCCGUCCUUAAGGCAUCAUAGCCUGGGUUACGCACCUGCAAGCCUACCCGAUCUACGUAGGGUGGACAUACAAAGGGGGAUCAAACAGGGAAAUAACAUGCAUCGUUUCCAAAAGUACUGAAGAGUUAUAUUACAUCAAUUGUUGACGCGGUUCUAACUAAAGAUAAAAAUUGUCUUGGUCGUGAACCUGCAGCGGCGAUGAGAAACGGGGUGCCUAGUCCCGGCGCAGGCCCUCCACCCUCUGGAUUCCGUCGAUGCGGCUGAUGAUGGGCUUGAUACGCUCCUUGAGCACCGUGAGGUCCGCAUCCUCCUAGAAGCUCUCCAGCGCGGCGUCGAAGUCGAGGUUGGGAUUCUAGUGCGCCACCUUGGUGAGGAACUUGGUCAUGGCACCCCGGCAAACCCUCCGGGCCUCAUCAUCCAGAGAAGCGGCCCGACUGGAGUGAAGCUGCUCCAACGCCCCGAAGACACCCUCGAAAAUAGGGUCAGCUUGGCGUUGGGGCUCACGUUGCGCUCCGGGGUGUACCUCACAUUUGGCAUCCCCAUGGUAGCCAGCUGCGUGGUGAUCUGCCGGCGACGUCUUCGAGGCGGCCGAUCCAGCGGGUCUCGCCCUCCACAAAAUCCUUGUGGUUGGCGGCUUCGUUCUUCUGCUGCUACUUCUCGGCCUCCAGAUCCUUGGCCAGGGUCUCCUCCCGGGCCUUGGCCUCCGAGAGCGUCUCCUCAAGACCCUCCAGCUUCCACUUCAGGUCUUUGAUGGAGUCGUUGGCCUUGGAGAGUUGCUCAGCCUUGGCGAGGACUGUGCCCUGCGCCUCCACCAGGGCACCGUUGAGCGUGUCCUUCUCCUUGGCCAGCUUCAGGGCCUGAUCCUUCAGCCCGUCCCGCUCCACCCCUAGCUCCUUGUGCCUCUGCUCCAGCUCCUGGGCCCGCUGCACGACGAGCUUCUCCACCACCUCGUCCUUUUAGCGGAGCGUUGCGGCGAGCUUCUCCUCACGCGCGGCAAGGUCCUCCUCCUAGGAGUUCAGCGCGGCCUGCUGCUGGUGCCGAGCAGCCUCGGCGUGGGCAGCCUGCUGCUCCGCCAGUUCCUGGGCCUUCUCGAUAUCGGCCUGCUUCAUGAUGAGCUCCAGGUUGCGCUCAGCCAGCGCGUCCUGGGCAGCCUUCAAGUCCUUGUGGGCCUGGCGGAACCAAGCCUGCGCCUCGGCGACGCGCCCCUCGAGGUCCACCUCCGCCUUGUCCACCACCGCCAUCCUGGACUUGGCCUUGUCCAGGCGGGCGCGAUGGAGCGCCCGGAGUUUCUGGAAGUUGGCGCCCAUGGCCUGGAGGAGCCGCUCUUCCUGGGAACCGCCGCCACCGGUGCUCGGCUCGUCAACAACCUCAAGCCGGCGGCGACGAGCACUUCGUCAUCAAACACCUCCCCCUCGACGGGCACCCCGGUGCUCGCCAUCCCUGGAAGGUGGACGAACAGGUUGUCGCUCCCCCUCAAGUACCUGCCCGAGCCAGAGGCAGCGGAGGAGGAAGGUUGGUCGUGAACCACCUCCUCCUGGGUAGCAGCUUUGUCGGCCUCCCCGGCAGGCCCCUUUCCGGGCUCCUCGGCAGUAGCCUUGCCAGGCUCCCCGGCAGACCCCUUGGCGGCCUCCUCGGUGGCGAUCUUCUCGGCCUCCGCCGCGGCAUCCUUGGCAACAUCCUCGAUGACGGUGUCUAUGUCCUCUCGGUCCGCCAAGGGAGGAUCUGGAUAUCGAGAAGGGGAUGAGGCGAAGCCAAGACCAAGAUUCAGAAAGAAGAGAAAGAGAACAGGGACGGAGGGCAAGUAACUUACCCAUGCCGGGCUGGGAAGAAGAGCCCCCCUCCCCGCCAACACCUGGCGCCGUGGCGAAGCCACCAGCGCCCGAGUUUGCCUCCUCCUCCUCUGUGUGCAUGGGCUCGGUGCUUGGCGCCCGUGCCGGGGAUGCCCCUCGGGGCGGCGUGGUCGAUGGGGUGGCGUGUUGGGGGUAGCCCUCAGUGGCUCCUCCUACUGCCGUCCUCCUCCUGCAAACACGGCAAGGUCACACGUGGGCGAGGGGUGAGUGAUGAGCAUACGCGGGGGCUGUGUCGGGGGCUGCUGUCCGGGCGGCUCAACACCACCAGCGGUGUACCGGAAGCGCCUGCUGAGGGCUGGCCGGCCGCUGAAGCCCUGGCCCUCUUCACCCUCUGGGCCAGCAUCUCCGCAUCCCUGCAAAGAUGAGAACAAAUCAAGAUAAGCGGCACAGUUUGAGGAGACAGAGACGACAAAAAAAGAGCAAGAUACUUACUCAUCCUCCACCUCCUCUUCUGCUGCUUUCCUCUUCCUCCUUGGGUUGAGGGACCCAAAGUCGAAGACGACCUCCGCGUCAACGUCUGCCGGAGGAGGGGAAGAAGGUGGAGUCUGGACACGCUUGGAUGAAGAAGAGGCAGUUUCUUUCUUCUUCACCACCGCGGCCUUCACAAACUUCCUCACUACCGCGGCCCUUGUCUGGUGCAUGGACCCCUCCUGGGUCUGCUGCGUUUGCGUAGCCCUGCCGGGCCGGACCGGCUCGCCGGAGCUGGCCCGCCGCAGGACUCGCCCUCUCCCCGUGGCCGGGGGAUCGACAGUCUCCUCCUCCUCCUCUGACGACUCGUCGACCACAUCCUCAAUGAGGGGCCCCGGUGCCGGCGCUGCUGGCCUCCCCAGCGGACUCCGCCCACUGGGCAAGCUCCUUUUCCUCCGCGGCCGCCGCGGCCUUGUCCUCCACGUUGCCGGUGCUGCCGGCCUCCUUGGCGAGCUCCGCCUUCGCCACCCUGGCGGCGAUGUAGUCCAGCUCCGCCUGCGUGGUGUCCUGGACGAGCCGCGGCUCGGCGCGGACGUACUUCUCCUCCAAGGUGUCAAAAAAUUCCAGCACCUGAUCCGCCGGCGGCUCGGCCCAAUUUGGGACAAGGCCGUGCGGGUUGAACUCCGGCAUCAUGGCGAUGAUGUCGUUUUGACGCGAGUUGUUGCUCAGCCGGACCACCCCCGCCGGCAACCCAAACAAGGGCCCCUUGGCGACCUUGCCGGCCUUUGCGGCCAUGCCGGACCGCUCGACCUUGCCAUUGCGGUUCACGUCGAGCUGGAAGAGCCGUUGGCAGAAGUGGGCGUGCCCCAUCACCCUGAGGUUGUGGUCUAAGCCGGGGCGAAGCCUCAUGAUGUCAGCCGCAUUCGUGAAGAGCCAGGCCGCCCUCCCCUUUUUGUGCAGCGGAGCGAUUCGGCGGCGGAUGAAAUCCGCCCCGAUCAUCUCAAGGGUGAGCCCGGCCUCGGUGAGGCAAAGAAUCCUAGUGGUGGCGACCGUGAGCUUCGCGUCGUCGGCGUCAACAUUGCUCCAGUCGUUUCUGCGAACCGGCGAUGCCUGGCAGACCUGGCAGAAUACUGGUGGAUCCUCCUCCUCAAUCCAGCACCACCGGCCCCGCCACUCCUCCCACCUCUCCUUAUGAGCGCCCUCCGGGUAUGUCCCUUUGGACCUUGGGACCUAGGCGACACAACCGGAGAUGGCGCCCCCCUUUUGGAUCCGAGGGAAGAAGUAGUGGCGGAAGAGCACCGUGUUGGGAUGCACCCCGACGAAGCCCUCGCAGAGAUGCGCAAAAAGAGCCAUGCACGGCAUGGCGUUUGGAGUGAAAUCCAGAAGGUGGAAGCCGUAGGUGAGCAUGACGCCAUUGAAGAAAUCAGAGAAGGGGGGCAGAGGCCACAGGGAUGACGCGCGUGGCCGGGUGCCCCGUCGUCUCCCCCCCCCCUUGUCUUGCACCCCCACAGGUGCUUGAAGUAGUCCUGGAGAUGAAUCGCGUCGACCGUUGUGGGGAAGUAGGCGGACUACAUCCGCCCUACCACCAGCUCGCUCUCCGGCGUCUCCUCCGCCCCGGCGUCCUUGGCCACUCCCUUGCCUUUACUGGUUUUGGGUGCCAUGGCGGCUGCGAGAGACAAUGGGGGGAGGACGACGAGGACGCGCCGGCGGCGAGCAAAGGGAAGAGCUUGAGAGGAAGGAAGAAGGGGACGGUGGUUCCGAGAUUGGAGAAAGAGCAGGGGGUAAAUGAGCAGCGCGCCCGCGGUUAUUCCUUUUUACGGGGAAGGCGCGGGCCGCCUCCUUUCCCAUUAACUGCGAUGUGACGGAUGCGUGCGGGAACCGCCCCACGCAUGACCCCCAUGUCACACACGACCCUCCAUGUCACAUGUUCAACGCGGGUCGUGGGGAAGCGCAGCGGACGAAAAGUUACUACGGUAAAAUCCGCCCCACUUACCCGCGCACUGUUCUAGGCCUAGCCCAACAACAUGUCGCGCUUAUGUGUGGCCCAGGCCCGGGGGCUCCUGUCAGUGUACAAAAGUAGGGGCUCUCCUUUUGACCCCUUUACUUGUGCACGGGCAGUCAGAGCCGAACCCGCGGCCACACUUAACAAGGCAGAGGAGGGAGGCCGGAGGGAAACCGAAGCACAAGACAAACAAGACAACACUAAGACCAAAAGCAUGAAGAAUAAAGGGGCGAGGUGGACUCCCCCGGAAAGGCCCUUGCCGGGGCAGCCUCCACGGUCCCGGCAAAAGCCUUGCCGGGGCAGCUUGCCCAACACCAGUAGAGCGGGCCACCCUUGAGCCCAAGGGUUCCAAACGCCGCCAACAACUACAUUGGAACAAGGCUCAGGAGGCACCUCCUUGGUGGCAUGCGGAUAUUUGUCCAGAUCAUGAACACACAAGAUCAGAUGAGAACCAGAAGACAACGACCCUCGGCGGGAUCCUAGCCGAGGAAAUCCACAAGACCCCCAGCAAGAACCUUACCGGAGACGACCACGAUGCCACGGCAAGACCCUUGUCGAGGCCCCGGCAAGACCCUUGCCAAGGACAACGGCGGGGCCGCAGCCAGGCCCACGUCUGCCAAGACUACACCACCAUUCCCAUGCAGCUGCUAGCUCACCCAGCUGGACAGACACCUGCGUGGCGACGGGCGGCCUCUACACCGACCCAGCAAGCACCUGCGUGGUGGCAUGCAGAUCUUCAUGAAGAAUCCACCACCGUGCCAGCCCAGCAGCCAGCCACCGUGGCGCCGCGACGCCUCGUCAGCUCGGACGCGUGUCGAAGCCAGGUGAGGCAGCGACAGCUGGGACGUGCUUCCUUGUCGUCCCCGAUAAAGCAAGGGGGCACGUCGGCUGCGCAUUAAAUGUGUUUGUCCCACGGUGCCAGAGGAUAGACUCAUCCACUGUAGACCCUUCCACCUCCUGUGUGCCACUGUGGCAACCCCUUUUUUCCUAUAAAAGGAGGCCCGAGGCGACCAGGAGAAGGAUACGGAUCUUUUGGGCAAAUCACACCCCGUAGCUAGCUCAAAAACACAAGAACAUUCAAAUACAUCCACCAAAGCAGGACUAGGGUAUUACGCAUCUCCGCGGCCCGAACCUGGGUAAACGAUCCGUGUGCUUCCUGUCAGACCCACUCUUUGCACAACCCCGCGCCCGCCAACCAUAGAAGGGAUCCCAGUGAAUCCAUAGGUGUCGAUUUCCCCCGACAUUGAUGCAUAGGGAGUUAGCGCUACCUAAGGUUCGUUAUUCAACAUAAUACAGGGGGGUCAGUGCUGAUGGUGCUGGUCCAAACUAGAGUCGUGUGCGGCUUCCCCCAGGGAAACUCGGUCUCAGCUAUUGUACGUUGUGCUCAUCCGAUCGUGGCCUGAGACAUGAUACGCGAGGCUCCUAUCGGGGUGUUGUCACGUCGGGAGGUCUUGCUGGACUUGUUUUACCAUUGUCGAAUGUCUUGUGAACCGGGAUUCCAAGCUUGAUCGAGUUGUUCUGGGAGGAGGAUUUUCCUCCGUUGAUCGUGAGAGUUUGUGAUGGACUAAGUUGGAACACCCCUGCAGGGUUUAAACUUUCGAAAGCCGUGCCCGCAGUUAUGUGGCAGAUGGGAGUUUUUAAUAUCCGGUUGUAGAGAACUUGACACCAGCUCUGAAAUAAAAUACACCAACCGCAUGCGUAACCGUGACCGUCUCUUUUCAAGUGAGUUCGAGAAGAGAACACGAUGGGGUUAUGGUUGACUCGUAAGUAGUUCAGCAUCACUUCUUGAUCAUUACUAGUUUAAGACCGUUAUGCGUAGUUUCACCUCUUACUCUUGUACUCGUAAGUUAGCCACCAUACAAUACUUAGUGCUGCUACAAUGUCACCACUUAUCCAUUCCAUACCCAUUAAGCUUUGCUAGUCUUGAUACCCAUUGCAAUGGGACUGCUGAGUCCUCGUGGCUCACAGAUUACUACAACAACAGAUGUAGGUAUAUGAUAUGACGUGAGAGCGAUGCUUGCUUGUUUUGGAGUUCUUCUGCUUCUUCUUUGAUCGAGGGAUAGGUUCCUGGUCGGCAGCCUGGGCUAGCAGGGUGGAUGUCGUUUGUGUUUUCCAUUUGUUUUCAUCCAUAGUCGGAUGUUGUUCUUUUGUAUGAUGUUUGAUGUAUUCAUGCGGCAAUUGUUUGCCUUUGUAUGUAUCCCCAUUUGUGUUGUAUGUGGUACGAUGUAAUGAUAUUCACCUUGCAAAAGCGUCUUCAAUAUGCGCUUCUAUCCUUGGUGGGACCUUCGAGUUCCUCUCGAAUAGGAUCGCAUAUUGGGCGUUACAAGUUGGUAUCAGAGCCUCGACCGAGCAAAGCAGCCCCCUUGAUUGAUCGUAGUUUGGCCAUUGUCGAGUCUAGAAUAAAAACUAUUCUUGGAGUUUAGCUAUAUCAGAGAGUAGGAAUUCUUUUUACUCCUCAUCCCUUUGUCGCUCUGGUGAGGAAUCGUGAUGUAGGUGUUUUGACUUGCUCCUCUUCCCUUUCAAAUUUUCUUUAGGCUCACGCAGGCUUCUUUUGAUCAUUGCGUUGUCAAUCCUUAUCUACCGGUGCAUUCAUCUUCAAGUUGUUCCAUCCUCUUUAUCUCUUGCAAGAUCAACUCUCAGUUCUUCUCAACGGUGGCCAUUCCCUUCAUCCCAAGUUUGCCUUUGUUUUUCUCACCCUCCCACCCAUUUUCUUCACGGAGUCCGAAGUCUCGAAUCGGGUAUUCACUGCAUUCGUGCGAAGCCUCUUCUUUCCUUCCUCAGUUGUUUCAACCGGUGGAUUCUUCAUUCUCGUUUUCUCCUCCGGUGGAUCCAAUUCAAUUUUUUGGUGUUGAUUACAUUCUUUUCCUUAGCACGAAUAUUUCCCCGUGCUCGUUCUCCUCUUGUCAAUUGAUCAUUUUAGAGUGUUGAAUACUUCUGAGAAGAUUCGUAUUUGCGUUCAAAUCAAUUCGUGGUUAUCACCUUAUUCAAGUCUCUCAAUCGUUCCUGUGUGUCAUCUCUCUUUCAAUCAAUCAUUCUCAACGGUGUUUCUCUCGAGUGGGCCCAUAACCAACAGGUUUGUUCCCAGGAUCUUACCUGACUCUUCUAAUUUUUCGGAGUAUUCGCAAAUUCUUUCCAAGUUCGACGACAGAGUGAAGUCUCAUCAGUCAAUUGUCUUAUUCGGGAUUUUCUUCAAUUGUUUUCCAUUUUGUUCCGUUCAUCCCCCUUCUCUCCCGUCUCGUUCCUAAGUUCUCGGGAAUAGAUCUUCUGUUAGUGGGGGAGAGUUGUGACGACCCGAGGUCGAUGCUCUAGUUGCCUUCCAUUUAUUUCGUUGUUGUCUUGUGUUUAUUUUGUUUGUUGCAUUAUCAUAAUUAUUUUGCAUAUUUCAUUCCUCUAUGUUGUUACCAUGAUCAUGUUGAGUGCUUUGUCAUAUCUUUGCUUCUUGCACCAUGCUCUUUUCACUUGUAAUGCCAUGUGUUUCAUUGUGCCCUUGUCAUUUUGCAUUUCAUCAUGCUCAUCAUGUGCAUUGUGAGAUUCAACUAUUGUUUUACGUGCUCUAUGUGUGUGUUUAUGUUCAACCCCUUUCUUUCCUCUCUCAACCUCACAAUGCACCAUCACCUCCUCCUUCCUUCUUCUUUCUUUCAUUUUUUUCCAAGUGGAAUUUUUAUUCCUCCAUAAAUGUUCAAUCUUUUCCUAUCUAUUUUAGACCAUGUCCUCAACUUAUCUGCCAAAUGUGAUCCCAUUUGGAGUUGUUUUGGUUGGGUUCAAA